UUUUUUUUUUGGUCUUGCUAUUCUAGCAAAGAUUUGGUGAUGUCUAUGUAUCCAAUAUUGUUGAAAAAGUAAAAAAAUGCAUUAUGUUGGAUCAAAUUAAGGUGUAAAUUUAGGUUUUCCGGGUCGAGAGGAGUUGCGCCCGAUGAGACCCUGCAAAACCGAUCCGUAAAAAAGCAUAUUCCGCGAAUAUCCUUUUUACGGGUCCAUUAUGUGGGUCUGUAUCUGCGGCCGUCUGCGCCGACCUGCAAAACCGUUUUUCCGUGAACUGCAAACGCGUUUUGCGGGUCGGUCGGAUACGGGGUCUGCUAGAAUUGCUCUUAGAUUGCUAUGGUAUCUCUCGCAAAGAGCCAUACAUAGAGUUAAUGCAUUUUUCUUUCCUAAAAAAGGUAUUUGCGCAUGGGUAGUCGCUACUGCACAAAUAAUGAUGCGCAUCGCCCGCUCUGAGCAGUAAAGCGUCAAUCACCGACCCGGGCAGGUUUUUCUUUCUUUUUCAGUUGUUUCUUUACUGCUUUUCUUGGUUUCCCCUUUAUUUUAUUUUGUUUUCUGCUUCUUUUCUUGUCUUCUUUUCUUCCCUUUUUUGUUUUUUCAAACAUUGCUCUUUUAAAAUAAUGUUCAAGUUUUUUUAAAAAACUUUAAAUCUAGAAAAACCACACUUACAAAAAAUGUUUGCAUUUUCCAAAAAGUAUGGAAUCAAAAAAAUCAUAUUUCAAAGAAAACAUAACAUUAGCGUAAACUUAAUGAACAUAUGCACUAAAUGACAUCUCUUUUUCUAUAGAAAUUGAAAUACAUGUCAUCUCACUUUAUAUGAUUUUCUUAUUUCUAUUAUAUUCUUAGCCUGUGAACCAAAUGAGGCCUUGAUGUGUCGAAUUUUUUUUAGAAAAGGAGGAUGACCCUCGGCCUCUGCAUCUGGGCAAUGCAUACGGCCAUUUUAUUAAUUAUUCUCACAAGACCUUAUAAAGUUAUACAACAGUAAGACUAAAGUCACCGUCUAAGCAACAAACUGUCGCUACACCUAUCCAGUUGAUGAAGGAGCGCAGAUAGCCUGGGCCUAAUACCAAACAGACAUCGCAGCCAAGCCUAACAUCUAAGACCUGAGACCCCAACCUAGCCACUUGCUGGGUCUGGGGCACACACUGGUCCGACGUGCUCUCAGAGGUCGCCGCCGCCAACUGCCACCGCUCCAUCUUCAGAACUGUACUGAUGCAUCAACCUUGCUCGGUCCAGCUAUCGUCGACGCCACCACGGCGCCCAACGACACCUCCUCCCUGCGCGCAAACAAUUGUAUACGUCGCGGUCGCCACUGAUACACCUCAGCGCCAUGCUGCCAUGUACCACCAGCCGACACAGCUUGAAGCCCUUGGAGCAUCUGUCGUGAGUAGCACCUGCCGGCCAGGCAUGACCAAGCGUAGCACCUGUCGGUCAGGCAUGACUUGACAUCUCCACCGAAGCUCCGUGCAAGACGAAGCCGCUCCACCUCCUGCCUCUGACUUCCAGCGCUGCUCCACAAAACGACGCUCCCAAGAGAGAAACGACACCGCAGUGCCGCCAUCGUCCGGUCUGGAACACCAGACCCUAGGGUUUCCCCCGGAGCAAUACGAGUGGAUCGACGGUAGUCACAUGACGAUGCCUUCAUCAAGGUAACGACGUGGAACGCCGCCAUCGCCCGCCGACGGCUCGGUUUUCACCGGCAACUACGUCUCCCCGACUCGCAGCUGGUGCUAGAUGACGGAUCCCGAGAUCCAAACACCCAGCCUCAGGCCGACCACCUCUGACGGAAGAGAUGACCACCACCGCCGGCUGCACUGUCAGAACAGAUCUGAUCGGAGGUGCCGCUGACGAGACCACCAGGCCCUCCACGCCGCCGUCGCCGAUCUGAAGGCAGCAUGCACGCCGCCGCCGCCAAGCCGGCCGCCGUCGACCGCAGCCGCCGCCGCCGCCCGAAGGGCCAUCCGCAGCGCCCGUAGCCCUGGCCUCCGCCGCGCCAAGUCGUCGUUGUCUGAGGACGGGCCGGCCUCCCGCCGCGUGCCGCCAUCCGCCGCGCCGCAGAUCCCAGAUCGAUCGCGCCACCACACGCCUUGGGGUCCUCCCCACCCCGAAGACGCGCGAGAGAGGAGAUCCCCGCCACCGCCGUCGGCCCCCGGGCUUAGCCCGGCGGCGUCUUCCGGCGGCGGCGGAGGGAGGGGAGGAGGGAGUUUGCGGCGGCGGCGGCGGCUAGGUUUCUAGCCGCCCGAGUUGUUCAUCGGUCACUUUCCAUAUUAUUAAACGUAAUCAGGGACGAAAUCUUCUGAAUUCCAGAGAAAAAAAGACACAAGAGACACAGUGGUGUUCAAACGUACAGUAGUAUGAGUACACUGUUUCGCGAAGUUCGCUUAUUACUGACACUAAUCCAUUCAGUCGAACCAAUCACCACCCAUGGCAACCGUCCGUCGAUCAUGCUGUAUCCUGCAACCGAUGGCAUGCGUGAGAUUCUCAUUAAAGCCCCUUCCCAUCUCACACAUAAUCAGAUUACGAGCUUGCUUACAGUCUUCCAAUCUUAUUAGCUUUGCUUCAUGUUAAGUGCGUGACCCUGACCCUGAUGCUGCAGGUGGCAGUCAUUCAGGAAGGGCACUCACAGAUGUUCAGAAACCCCGACGUUGCUAGGAUACAUUCCAUAAAAUUUGGUCGUUUGGUAACAGGCAUUUCUUCCCCUCAAAAAAAAGAAGGUGGAACAUAUUUCUAGCCAACUAAACUUGGUUCAUUCGCAGUGAAAAACACUUGUAGUAUGCAGAUAAAACAUGUCAUUCAGUAGAUUGUGCCGGUUGGUUCAUACACAGUGCCAUGCUCUCCGCGGAUUCCUUCACGGAUGGUGUAAUUUUUAGGUGAUUCCGCCAAGUCGUUAAGCAUGAAAACGAAGGCAGAGAUUGCCAGCAGCAGGAGGAGGCAGGAGCACGGAUGCGCUGUACUCCCCUCAGAGGCCCAUAUGUUUGACCUGGACUAGUGCACCGUACACGAAAAUUAGUACUAGCAGUACUACAGCAGCAACAGCACCAGCACGACCUUGCUCGUACGUAGCGACGCGUGACGUGCACGGAGUUUGUUUAGCUCCCUAAUCCCUAAACCUGCUGAUUAACUAGCAGCUCGAUCGAGCACUGGAAAUACGGGACUUAAUCGUCGGAGGUUGAGAAGUUGAUUAUACAAUGAUCUUUCCUCUGUCGGGUAUCGAGCACAUUGACACACUGUUAAGCAACUCAGGGACAGAGUCAGCGACAGACACUAUAAUAAGUGGUAGGAAACCUAAAACAAAAAGGUAAAAAUACAUGGGAAUUGAGCAGAUGCAGGCGCGCCUCGAUACUGAAAGAUUUACAUUCAUCGAAGCAGAGUACGUAAACUUACAGAAAAAGAUCAGGAGAAAAAGGUCGGAUAGUUUGUCAGCUACUCGUUCAUCGAAGAGAGGGACCGGUAAAAAAACGGCCAAACCGCAAGCUAUAUUUAUAUUUACACGAACGGAAAUCUGAAGAAAGGAAGGAAGAAAAAGGAUCGGUGAAACAUUGGCAAAAUUAUCUUCAGAUUAAUUACGGCCGACGUCCUCAGGAUUCGACACAACGCGCAGUUGCAUUCAUGCAUACGCGUCAAUGGGCGCGUGUACGUAGUAUACACGAGACUUAUCCUACGCCCAUCAGUCAGUAAAUCACAAUGCAGCCAUCUACUCCAGCACGGUACAGCGGCUGCUUCAAUUCAAGAAAGCCUGCAUGGUUCGGUCCAACUCAACAUGCACGCAUGAAAAAUUGGGAGCGUACCAACUCUAGAGCUCUCCCGUACAAGCACAGAAAAUCAUGCGAGCGUCCGUGUAUGCGUAGAUGCUACACGUCUAACCUAGACAUCUAGGUACACUCUUACAUGACCAAAACUCGUGUAGUUAGUAGUACGUUUGAAACAGAGAUUAGUAGUACUACCAAGUAAUCGUUAGAAGUAUCUUUAUCUUAGCUUGUCUAAUCCCUAGUGCAUAUGUAUACGAAGAAGGCACCACGCACGCCAAAACUUUUGAUUCUUGAGUCCAACAAACCAUGAAACAUAUAUACUCUCUACUGUUCUUUCACUUUUUCUUGAAAGCUUUGGAACAUGCUCAUGAAUCGGUUAGGUCGGCAUUUAUUCGUUUUUUGUAGGGUAGCAAGUUAAGAAGGCAGGGCCAUCCCAUGGAUGCCCAUGCAUCGGCAUGCAUGAGACUUAUCAAAGGAGAACGCAUGCAACUUUCUGCGCACAGUACAUGGGGCUGAACCACGAACACCUCACCCCCAAUGCACGGAUAUGGUAAAAUAAUAAAGGGAUCAGCGGCAGCUACCUUGGCCAGGAGCCAAGCGAAGCAAUAACCCAUAAUAAUAUGGGUGCAUAUGCGCAGAGAUAAGUCAGAGGCUAUAGCUAGCCAGCAUGUGUGUACUUCCAAGAGAGUGAACCAAAGCAACUAUAUGCAAUAGUAUUAUUCGUAUUAUUACCAUGUACAUCCCUCACCUCUAUUCCAUUGUACUCUACUGGCAAGUCAAAUGGAGAAGAAGCACAUGGACAUGGAUGAGGCGACGACGUGUGCAGUGUGCAUGGUAAGAACAAACCGUGGAGCUCAGGAUAGAUAGCGCUUCGGACGAACAGAUCGAUGAACCAUCAAGAGCCGGCCGGUCUCUUGCUGGUUGCAAUAAACCUAGGCGCUAUCCCUCCUGAGCUUCAAGGAUUGUUCCCUACCCUCUUCUCGGCUCUUCCGGCGGGUGAACUCCGGCGAGUUCCGUCGUGGUUUCGAAUUGGUGGAGGGGAAGAAAGAAGAAGCAAUGCGAUGAGAAGCUAGCCAAAGAGAGGGGGGAUGCGGUGAGCUAGCUCCUGCAUAUGUAGCUAGAGAGUGAAGUGGUGGAGGAAGAGAGUGAGGAUGGAUUGGUCCCGGUGGUGGCUCUUGCUGUAUUUAUAGUGAGAGGCUCACCUCUCUCUCUCUCUCUCUCUCUCUCAUGCAUGUGUGUAUGUGUGUGAGAUGAGACAACUGUCACAUUUCUUGAGGCAUGGGGGAAGGGAGAGGGAGAGGAGGAGGGGGAGGGGGAGAAGGGUCUCUUUGAUCUGUGCAUUCUCUCUUGCUGUUAGUUGAAGCAAGCUAGUAUCUUCCAAACAAACAAACAAUUUUUGUUUUGAAGCAAGCUAGCUAAGCUAGCUAGGUGCAGUGCCACUGCAUGCAGCUGGGUGGCUACAUGGCUACGUGGACUAGUUCAGCUACUUGCACGAAUCCAUCCUUGCAAAAAAUACCAAAAUAAAAAAUUUCAAAAAAAUACAUAAUAAAAAUAGUACUUCAUGUGCAUGGAUGGAUUCCCUGCUUAAUAAAGUGUGGUGUCAACCACUUGGUACCACCAUGCAUGCAUGCACGCCUCUCAUCUCACCCCACCUCUCUCCAUCAACAAGGCAUGCAGUACAAUUUUCAAUUUCCCCAUGUAUGAAUAACAACAUGACGAGUGCUAGAGACAAGGGCAUGCAUUCGCCAUGCAUAAAUGAGAAGUCCGGUACAGUGCUAGCUACCGUGCAUGUCUAAGGUAUCUGACAGCAAACCAUGCCCAUCAAUGUAAAUCCCUGUGACCGGACGACCACACCGUCCCACAGAGAGAUGCGAUCCAUCGAGCAUAUAUGCGCGGCUCACAAGCACCGAAUCUUUGCAAAUUUUCACAAACCAAAAAUAUUUACGCAUGCGACUAGAUGCAAGUGGGUACAAUAUGUAGUGCUACUCCACUGGAGGUCCGGAGCCACUACAAAUUCAUUUUUACUCCUGCAUGAUAACGGUGUCACGGUCAUGAUUUAUGCAUGUACUUGCUCGGUUGAAAAACAACUUGUGUGCAAAAAUGUAGAGCAAAGUUUUUGUGUUGAUUCUUUCUCCCUGCAGGGGCUGGGACCUGGGAGUGAGAGUUGUACUGUGUUCCUUUACGUCAACUGAUGGUGACGGUGAAAAUCUUGUGAUUAGACAGCGGAGGUAGCUUUGGUCAGGUAUCAUGGAUCUAGCUUUUGGUUUAUUUGCCCAUGAUGUGAGAAGGCCUUGACCAAUUUUAUGCAUGGUCAAAUGCCGAUAAAAGACAAGCAUGCAUGCUCAAAUCAUUAUCACAUCAUUCGCUUCCUAGACUCUGGCUAGAGUUUGAAAGGUACUAACAAAGACUAAAAACACACUAGUGGUUUGAAAAAGGUAGCAAAGGUGAACAGAAAAAUCUAGCACAUCGGAAGCUCAGCUUUAGCACACCAGUGCCGGAAAUGGCCAGGAGAAGAUGGAAUUUUUCGUGAAAGCAAAAUUAUUCGACAAAGCAUUUAAAUCGAUACAUGAAUGUGCCUAAAUCAUGUUCAUCAAUGUAGCACUCAAGCACCAACAAUCCAGUGAAUGUUUGUACUACAGUCAUAAUAGGGUUGGCCCCCAGGUACCGCUUCUGUACGUACUACGUACACAACAGUGCCGGAAAAGCUAUAACAUGACCACAUUUCCAGCUAGUACAUGCACUGGAAAAUAGUAUUUGGACAUGUUAAACAUGUACAGGAAAAACUGAUUCAUGCACAUUUUGUGCAAUUCAAUUGUUAGUAAACCCUAACAUCCAGCAGACGAUAAUUGGAUAACACACUCCUAUUUUUCUAGACCCCUUCUAGUAGUCUUGAUUUGACAGCCAGGACCCUUCCUCUCCCUCCUCCUCCUCGGCAUCAAAACCCUCCACGGCGCCACUUUGCCUUCCUCUUCUUGCCCCGGAUUCGACGACUACGUCAUCGGUUAAGGCACUUCCUCAAAACCCACACGGACUCCAAGGAUACCCCCAACAAUAACCUACCUCUCCCCCGGGUCAGUACCUCCUCCUCCUCGACACCGAAACCCUCGACCACUAGUCUGACUUCCUCUUUGAUAUGGUGUACGACAUAUGGUACAUGGUAGCCCGAACCAUAACCUCUAAACCACAUUCUCACCACCCUAUUUACGUCCUAUCCGCCGGUGAUGUUGAAAUAUAUUGCGGGUCCUACCCAUCAGUUUAAACUUUUGAAUGAACUGACUAGUCCUUGAUUUCAAUAGGUGAAGCACCACCCACUUUACCACCGCCUCCAGCACAAUUGCACAAAGGAAGUAUUGCAUCCGCCGGCACCAGCACACUUGCAUUGGCACCACCACAUCCGCAAGGGUAGCACAAAUACACGUCCGCCCUCCGACUUAUUGAAUAUAAACUUUUUGGAGACGUCACCAAAAACUUGUAGUGAGAAGAAUAUGAGGUCUCUUUGGUUCAAAGGAAAAGUGGAGAAUAAUUGGAGGAAUAGAAAAUUUUCCUAUGGCGAUAAUAAUCAUGAUUUUGUCUUUUUAAGAAGAAAGCCGAAUUCUAACACACACUUCAACCCGUGUGAAUUUGGCAGAGCCGGAUUAAAAGAAAGGAAGGUCAUGGAUGGGGCGAUGAGAGACACACAUGCCAUUGCGGUAGUCAGAAUGACAGGAGAUCUGGGGUGGCUGGGUGCGCCAUAUCUUCUGACCAGGGGCGCCUCGAUCUUCAUGGCAAAUGUCAGAUGGUGAUCUCCAGCUUCCCGUGGGGGAAUUAAAGCGCGCGAGCGCAUGCAGCGCCAUUGCACAUCUUUUGGCAUCUUUUCCUCGGCACCCAUCUCAUUCAAGGUAUCGUCUCGAGCUCACCAGCGCCUACCUCUCUUGAUCCUAGCUAAUUACGUGCAUGUUUCACUUUUUCCCAGCACGCGCAGGCCUGCUAUCUCCUCUCCAAACCAUCAUCUGCCUCUGCUGUCUAUGGUUGAAAUUUGGUGGUACAUAUAUGGUAAAAAUGUAUCACUACUAGUAAUACCAUCUUUUAAUAAACUUGUGGGUUAACAGUAAAGAAACCUAGGCUUUCUUCAAAGAAAAAACCCUAAGCUUAUUGAGAGCACGUAUACCCCAGGUACCUGAAAAAACUUGUUGCAUCAGUCAGUUUUAUUUUGAACUGCUAGAUCGUCAUCCAACGGCCUAAAAUUGAUUGUACAAUGUUCACCUUCAACCUCCCUCAUGCACGCCCCCUGUUUACCCUGCUCCAAUCGCCGGCCUCCGCCACCCACGGACGGCGGGUGCUAUCGCGCACCGUCUCGCCCUCUCCCCACACACUGUUGCUGGCCACCACACCGCCCAUCCCUCCAAAUCCCCUGAUUUGCGGAAGUUCCGACNNNNNNNNNNNNNNNNNNNNNNNNNNNNNNNNNNNNNNNNNNNNNNNNNNNNNNNNNNNNNNNNNNNNNNNNNNNNNNNNNNNNNNNNNNNNNNNNNNNNNNNNNNNNNNNNNNNNNNNNNNNNNNNNNNNNNNNNNNNNNNNNNNNNNNNNNNNNNNNNNNNNNNNNNNNNNNNNNNNNNNNNNNNNNNNNNNNNNNNNNNNNNNNNNNNNNNNNNNNNNNNNNNNNNNNNNNNNNNNNNNNNNNNNNNNNNNNNNNNNNNNNNNNNNNNNNNNNNNNNNNNNNNNNNNNNNNNNNNNNNNNNNNNNNNNNNNNNNNNNNNNGCAACGCCGCAACUCGCUUCACAACGUCGUCCCUGGCUGGGCCUCGGCGUGGCUGACGCUUGUCGUUGCCGUCCUCAUGUCAUCCUUGCCUUCGGCCUUGCGCAAAGCAGAAAUUGACUCAAGUGGGGAAAAAAUCAGACACAUGAAAUUUAGCAAACCGAAGCUUUUUAAGGGAGGGCCGAUUUUGAAAUCACAUUGUUUGCACCUUAGCUGUACCAAAACACAAUUUAUUGAUCAACUGCAUUUUCACCGAAUCCACCAUUGACCGUGACCUACUCAUGGGCAGGGGUGGCUUUAACCAGAUGGACCAGAUUUGACAUAAAUUACACCCAUGUGCAACUGAAUCAAGGGGGUGCCCUGGUACUGCCCACACCCCUCAUACUACCACCACAGGUCACAGCAAUAAACAGAGGGGCUGUGAUGUGCGAUCGCAAAGGCUGCAGGGAUGUGAGCUGGUGUGGGAGGAAUUUCUCUGGCGCUGGAAAGCUCAUUCCUGAACCGGUCCAUAAACAAAUGCAUGCAGUCGGAGUAAUUGUUUAUGCGCCCCAACUCUGACUACCUACUGUCCUACUGCUACCCUGAUGCUAGCCAGGCUAGCUGCUGCUUCUGCUGCUACGUACGGCUCGUCGCAGUAAACUCGCCAUUCACUCCGGCGACUUUACUGCUGCAUCUCACCGCCGGGCCUAUGGAGCACUGCCGUCGUUCAAAAACCCACGGUGCUUUUCUCUUUUCCAAUGACUGUGAUAUUACAGUGGGGAGUAACUUAGACUAGUGUCAUGCAUAUGACAUUAGUCUAAGUUACUACCUUCAUAAUGCAAAGUAACAUACUACUAAUAUCAUAUAUGGCUUCAUUUAUUAGCUUCUAGACUCAUCUUGUCUUGGAAAGCGUUAUGUUACAGUAACAUAUUAUGUUAUCACCUCUCAUUAAUUACUUGCCACAUAAGCAGAAUUUUCUCGAAGUGUGCUAUGUUACUAGCUAAGUUACUCUCACUAUGACUAGCGUUAUGUUACUUUGCAUUAUGAAGGUAGUAACUUAGACUAGUGUCAUAUGCAUGACACUAGUUUAAGUUACUCCCCACUAUGACCAGCCUGACUAGCCUUAUAAGGCUUAAAUCUGAAAUCUCAUCAACCAAGGCGUAUGUUGAGUGGAGAAAUGUAUCUCGUACUUUACAAAACUACUCAAACUAAAUUGAUGCAUUAAUUGGUAUUAAUUGCAGUGCAUGCAUGCUUGACCACUAGAUGAGUAGUAGCAUUACAUGCAUUGGUGAAUUCCUUUUUAAUUCUUGCAUGCAAAGAUUUAAUGCGUCUUGGAACCUUAAAAGAAGAUGGAGAUGAGUCUUAUAAAUUGAAAAAAUGAAAAAAUGAGAUAAACCUUAUAAACCGAAAAGGAGUACUGUGCGUGUAGUAGAACCGAGGUGGAGAGAACGACGGAACUUACGAGAAAUGAUUCAGAAAUUUCUUCAGCAUGAAUAAGGUUUCUCCACACGAACUAGUAUUUUACCUCUUGUAACUCAUGGUAAAAGUAAAGAGCAGUUUUAAUAUGCUUCUUGUUACCUCAUCUUUCGAAGCUCAAGAUUAGGAUUUACCCCUUCAGUAAAAUGAUUGCGUUCUUCUAAUCUCUGUUCGCUGCAUUGAGAGAAUAGGGAUUAAAAUUAGUUGAUCAUGCAUGUAUGAGAAUACCCUUUAAAUAAAUUUAAAAUUCAUCUAAACAUUUAAGGGGAUGUAGCUAAGCAAAACUCAAUGUAUAGCGUAUCAAACAAAUCAAAGGUAUCGCAAAUUCGCACAAGUCUCCUAAGUCAUGGCCCAGAAACGGCCUAAGAGAUGGUUUUGCAUUUAUCCUUCUUAUCCUAUGAAUAAAGUAUUCUUCCUCGACAAUUUUUCUACGGUGAUCAGAUUGAGAUGGUUGUGGAUGAAAUGUUUGUGGGGAAAUACCUUGUGUUGGUAUGGUAACCAGUGCAACACAACAGAUGUGAAGAUCUUCUACACCGUUAUCAAGAUUGUCAUUGAUAAUGGAAAAGGUUUGAUUCGGCUUGGCUACCUAGGUAGGUGUGGGUCAAAGACAUUACCCCUGUAGUUAUGUGUCAAUCAUGAAGAAGAAGUGUAUUCCACGAGCAAGUUUGGAUGUAUAAGAGCAUGGUUAAUAAUAUAGCCAACAAUCGACUAUAAGGAGUUGGCAUGUCAUCUAGAGCCAACCUUGUAGCCGGCAUGUAUAAUAGUAAAUUUAAUAUGUGUACUACUUUAUUAGUAGUUGGCCCAUCUUACAACCUCAUAAAGCGUCUUGGGCUCGUGCUAGAACCGGCUAUUAACCAAGAGCCCGCUUCUCUUUUCUCUCCUCCAACUAAGCAAAGAUAUAAUAUUCUAGUCCUUAUAGCCAACUUAUGUCACCUUAUUAUACUUGCUCUAAGAUUGACGAGGAUGCAGGCAUUACGAGCAAUUCCUUCGCUUAAUUUGGACUCAAUUUAAGGCAUUGCCUUGACCUCUGGUAGCAAUUGAUUCCAUCGUGUGGAAGUACACAAAGCUCUGGAGCUACAUCUCCUCACUCAGAUAUUGCAAUUCAUUGGAGCAAUGGCCAUGAUCAUGUGCCCCAUGAUCUAAGACGCCCCACUGAUAACAGAGGGUCCAAUGUACAUAUUUCUUGUAUGGCUUGUGGACCAAAGCAGGAUUUGGAUUGCUGCAGUUCAGAUAGCAAUCCCUGCCAUGGCGAGGGUGUGGUUCAUAGAUCUCAGAGUUUCAUGGGGAAUUACAGAGAGAUUCAGAGGAGGAGGAAGCUAACUUGGGGAAGAAGAAGAUACAGAACAGAGUAGUCUGUUGGUACAACUCAUCGAUGCCUCACUACUACCACACAACAUGCCUAAAUACGCUACAAGACGGGCCGAGACAGAACGGCCCACACGCACACGGCUCCAGGCCCACUGGGUCGUGGCACUCCCUUCCCCUUGCAGCCGGCUUGUCCCCAAGUUGGCACCAGUUCAGAUAACACACUUGCCCACUCCCAGGUUGCCAUCGACAUCGGCAGUCCACUCCAAGCGACCUUGUACUGCUUCCUGGUGCGUCCUCCGAAACGAACCAAACGAGAAUCGAGAACUUGACAUGGUUUGGGCACAGCAGGGCAAACCUAAGCAUACUGCAAUAAUUCUGAAGUUGGUACUUGUUCUUCUGGUGGUUUAGCCGGUUUCAGCAAGGAAACAUGCACCACCGGAUGGAUUUUACAGGAGACAGGCAGCUGUAGACGGUAAGCAACAUCUCUCACUCGCUCCAAGACCAGAUAAGGUCCAAAAUACUUGAAACCUAACUUGUGAUUGGUACGCCUUGCUACUGACUGUGCAUAUACGGCUAAAGUUUCAGAAAGACCCAAUCACCGGCAGAAAAAACUCUGUCAGAACGAUGCUUGUCCUCUUGUGUCUUCAUGCGUUGCUGAGCCCUAAGAAGAUGUUCUCGAAUAGUUGUAGUCAUAGCAGUGCGCUCUGCCAACCAAGUGUUUAAGUCACUCGAGGUGGAGGACUGCAGAUUGGCAACUCCCAAGUGUCUUGGUUGGUAACCAUAUAGCACCUGAAACGGAGUUUUGCCCAGAGCAGAAUGGAAAUUGGUAUUGUACCAAUACUCGGCCUAGGGAAGCCAGUAGGCCCAUUUUUUAGGAGCAGAAUGAACCAUACAACGAAGGAAAGUUUCCAGGCAUUGAUUUAGCUUCUCAGACUGCCCAUCUGUUUCCGGAUGAUUGGCUGAACUCAUACUCAUCUUAGUGUCGGUUAAUCUGCAAAGUUCUUGCCAAACAGUGCUAGUGAACAAUGGAUCUCUGUCUGUAACCAAAACCUUUGGGAGACCAUGUAGAUUGUACACAUGAUCAAGGUAAACUUGGGCCACUGUCAAUGCAGUAAAUGGGUGGGACAGGGGAACGAAAUGCCCAUACUUGGUAAAUUUGUCUAUAAUGACCAGAAUAGUAUCAUAGUUCUUACUUUUGGGAAGUCCACUGAUAAAAUCCAUAGUUAUCAUGUUCCAGGCUUCUGUAGGCACAGGAAGUGGACUCAACAGUGCAGGUUUCUUAAUAUGCUCCACUUUAGCUUGCUGACAGACUGCGCAAUCCCUCACAUAUUGUUGGAUGUCCUGUUUCAUAGAAGGCCAGGAGAAAAGGGCCUUAAUUCUUUGGUAAGUGGCCUGAAAACCUGAGUGGCCGCCUACUGCAUUGGAAUGAAGAGAUAUGAGUAUAGCUUGGUGAGCAUCUUUGUUGUUUCCCAACCACACUCUUCCUUUAUGUCUGAUCACCCCUUGUAAUAGCUCAAAUCCUCUGGCAUUAGAGCCAGUAACACUGAGUUCAGUUAAUAAUUCUUGAGCUUGAGAGUCUUGUAAGUAUCCUUCUGCGACCACUUCUAGCCACUGAGGAGUACAAUAAGACAGGGCCAACAAGGCUUCAGAACCAAAAACUCGAGAUAAGGCAUCAGCAGCAGUAUUUUCAUGACCUUUUUUGUACACUACAAUAUAGUUCAGUCCCAUAAGCUUCAGUAGGGCUUUUUGUUGAAUUGUGUUGGAAACCUUUUGAUCAUGUAAAUGUAUCAAACUUCUAUGAUCUGUACUGAUAACAAAAGGAGCAUGCUGCAGAUAAGCUUUCCAUUUCUCUACUGCCAACAAAACUGCCAGGCACUCCUUUUCAUAAGUAGAAAAUCCUUGUGCUUUAGGACCUAGGGCUUUGCUCAAGUAUGCAAUUGGGUGACCUUCCUGCAGUAGGACAGCACCAAUGCCCACAUUGCUAGCAUCAGUUUCCAUAGUGAAGGUUUUCUUGAAAUUAGGCAAGGCUAGCACAGGUGAGGAUAAUAGAGCGUGCUUGAGGUGCUGAAAGGCAGACUCAGUGGUAGGUGUCCAUACAAAAACAGUGUCCUUCUUGAGCAAAUUAACCAAACUUCUGCUAAUAACCCCAUAAUCUUUGAUGAAUUUUCUGUAGUAGCCUGUGAGCCCUAAAAAAAACCUCACCUCUUUCACAUUCUUAGGGACAGGCCAGUCCUGAACUGCUUGCACUUUACCUGGGUCAGUGCUGACUCCAUUUUUGCUCACAACAUGUCCCAAGUAUUCCAAUUUUGGCUGAGCAAAAGAGCAUUUGCUAAGGUUAACAUAGAACUGGUUUUGUUCCAAGAUAGCAAAAACUUCCUUAAGAUGUUGCACAUGCAAUUCCAAUGUAGGGUUGAACACCAAUAUAUCAUCCAUAAAGAUUAACACACAUUUUCUGAGUAAGAGAGCAAACAGCCUGUUCAUGGCAUCUUGAAAUGUGGCAGGGGCAUUAGUAAGACCAAAAGGCAUUACCAGGAAUUCAAAAAGCCCAUGAUGUGUUUUGAAAGCUAUUUUGUGUUCUUCUCCAGUCCAUAAUCUGAUUUGAUGGUAUCCAGAUUUGAGAUCCAAUUUGGUAAACCAUUGAGCACCAGAAAGUUCAUCCAAUAAUUCCUCCACUACUGGCAUUAGAUAUUUGCGUUUGACUGUGAUUGCAUUUAAGUGUGUGUAAUCCACACAGAAUCUCCAAGUGCCAUCUUUUUUCUUAACCAAGAGGACAGGAGAAGCAUAAGAGCUAGAGCUUAACUGGAUUACUCCCUGUUUUAGCAUGUUCUUCACUUGUUGCUCAAUCUCAGUUUUCUGCAUUGGGUUAUACCUGUAGGGUUUUACAUUGACAGGCGGUGCUCCAGGUAACAAUGGAAUUUUAUGAUCAAAAGCCAUGGAAGGAGGCAGUGCAGCAGGAUCCUCAAAGACUUUGGUGUGGCUGUCCAAAACUUCCUGGACAGCUAUGGGAAUGACCUUAGAAGGAGGUAAUGUAGCAGGGUCUACAAGGACUUUUUUGUGGCUGUCUAGCACUUCCUGUACAGCUGGAGGAAUGGUCCCAAUAACAGGAGAAAAUUUUGACACAUAAUUAAGUUGCAAAAUGUGAUCCACUGCAGCAAUAGCUAGCAACCCUUUUAACUGCUUCCCAGACACUUUCUUGUAGGUAUGUAACACAUCUGUAACUCCUCUUAGUGUGACUUUCUUAUCAUUGUACUUGAAUUUCAUGAUUUUCUUCUUCCAAUCCACCCACAUGGGACUCCUAGUUUCCAGCCAGUUCAUGCCCAGAAUUAGAUCAUAAUUCUCCAAUGGCAAUGCUUUUAAAGAAGUAUUGAAACAUGUGCCUUGGCACCACCAUUGUAGGUCACAAACUUGUUUAGUGCAUAGCAAAGUACCCCCACCAGCUACAGUAAUAGUUGCAGGUGGUAAAGCAUCUACAGGACAAUUUAAAGCUUCCACCAGUUGUUCACUGAUAAAAUUGUUGGAGCUGCCUGAAUCUAUGAGAAUGAGCAAGUGUCUCUUCCCAAUCAUGCCUUGCAAUUUGAUACUCUCCUUGCAGGAAGUACCACUGAAAGCUUCUAAGGACAGCUUCAUGAGAGAAGCAGCAGAAUCUGAACUAUUUUCACCAUCAUCAGUAGUAUUCCCAGGUUCAGGUUGUUGUUCUGCUACUGGUGGUUCUGAACUAUCAGAGAUCUGCAAUGCAUCGAUGAGUUCCUGCAUGACAUGCAACUGCACAGUCUUUGGGCACUGAUGCCCAGGUCCAUAUUUCUCUCCGCACUUGAAACAUUCGCCAUGAGCGCGGCGUUGAGCUCUGAGAGAGUCCACCUUAUCAUUAUAUUCGCUCUUGUUCUCUGUCCUGGGCUCAGUCGGAGAGACUCUCAUUAAUCCUUGAUGUACAUAAGGUUUAUACUUGGAUCUGUACAUAGGUUUGUCCGUUGGCACACUGGUGUCCUCUGCCAAAAUAGCUUCUUGCGUUUGAGCAAAGGAAUAUGCCAAAUCAACCGUAACAGGAUGUUGUAACUUAACAGGAGCACGAAUAGCACGUUGCAAUCCUACUAUGAAACGAUUGACAAAGAAUGUUUCAUCAUAGGAAGGAUUGUACACCAGAAUUUUAUGCAUGUACUCUUCAAAUUGAUGAGCAUAAUCAUCUACUGAACCAGUCUGUUGAAGAGUAAAGAAGGUGUCCAUGAGCCUAGAGUAUUUGUGACAAUUGAACUUCGCAAACACAGCAACACACAAUUUCGGCCAACUCUGGAUAUUGUGCAUAGCUUCAUAAGUUUGGAGCCAGAGAGCUGCAUGUUCGAAAUAUGCCCUAGAGGCAAUAAUAAAAUGGUUAUUAUUAUAUUUCUUUGUUCAUGAUAAUUGUCUAUCGUUCAUGCUAUAAUUGUGUUAUCCAGAAAUCGUAAUACAUGUGUGAAUACAUAGACCACAACACGUCCCUAGUGAGCCUCUAGUUGACUAGCUCGUUGAUCAAAAGAUAGUCAUGGUUCCCUGACUAUGGACAUUGGAUGUCAUUGAUAACGGGAUCACAUCAUUAGGAGAAUGAUGUGACGGACAAGACCCAAUCCUAAGCAUAGCUCAAAGAUCGUGUAGUUCGUUUGCUGUAGCUUUUCUGAAUGUCAAGUAUCAUUUCCUUAGACCAUGAGAUUGUGCAACUCCCGGAUACCGUAGGAGUGCCUUGGGUGUGCCAAACGUCACAACGUAACUGGGUGACUAUAAAGGUACAUUACAGGUAUCUCAAAAGUGUCUGUUGGGUUGGCAUGAAUCGAGACUGGGAUUUGUCACUCUGUAUGACAGAGAGGUAUCUCUGGGCCCACUCGGUAAGGCAUCAUCAUAAUGAGCUCAAUGUGACCAAGUGGUUGAUCGAGGGAUCAUGCAUUACGGCACGAGUAAAGUGACUUGCCGGUAACGAGAUUGAACUAGGUAUUGGGAUACCGACGAUCGAGUCUCGGGCAAGUAACAUACCGAUUGACAAAGGGAAUUGUAUACGGAUUGAUUGAAUCCUCGACAUCGUGGUUCAUCUGAAGAGAUCAUCGUGGAGCAUGUGGGAGCCAACAUGGGUAUCCAGAUCCCGCUGUUGGUUAUUUACUGGAGAGGCGUCUCGGUCAUGUCUGCAUGCUAAUAUCUCUACAACCCUAGCGUCACCGAACCUUAAGUGUGUAGACCCUACGGGUUCGGGAGACAUGUAGACAUGACCGAGAUGGCUCUCCGACCAAUAACCAACAGCGGGAUCUGGAUACCCAUGUUGGCUCCCACAUGCUCCUCGAUGAUCUCAUCGGAUGAACCACGAUGUCGAGGAUUCAAGCAACCCCGUAUACAAUUCCCUUUGUCAAUCGGUACGUUACUUGCCCGAGAUUCGAUCGUCGGUAUCCCAAUACCUCGUUCAAUCUCGUUACCGGCAAGUCACUUUACUCGUACCAUAAUGCAUGAUCCCGUGACCAGACACUUGGUCACUUUGAGCUCAUUAUGAUGAUGCAUUACCGAGUGGGCCCAGAGAUACCUCUCCAUCAUACGGAGUGACAAAUCCCAGUCUUGAUCCGUGUCAACCCAACAGAUACUUUCGGAGAUACCCGUAGUAUACCUUUAUAGUCACCCAAUUAUGUUGUGACGUUUGGUACACCCAAAGCACUCCUACGGUAUCCGGGAGUUACACGAUCUCAUGGUCUAAGGAAAAGAUACUUGACAUUGGAAAAACUCUAGCAAACGAACUAUACGAUCUUGUGCUAUGUUUAGGAUUGGGUCUUGUCCAUCACAUCAUUCUCCUAAUGAUAUGAUCUCGUUAUCAAUGACAUCCAAUGUCCAUAGUCAGGAAACCAUGACUAUCUGUUGAUCAACGAGCUAGUCAACUAGAGGCUUACUAGGGACAUGUUGGUGUCUAUGUAUUCACACAUGUAUUAUGAUUUCCGGAUAACACAAUUAUAGCAUGAAUAAAAGACAAUUAUCAUGAACAAGGAAAUAUAAUAAUAAUCCUUUUAUUAUUGCCUCUAGGGCAUAUUUCCAACAGUCUCCCACUUGCACUAGAGUCAAUAAUCUAGUUACAUUGUGAUGAAUCGAACACCCAUGGAAUUCUGGUGUUGAUCAUGUUUUGCUCUAGGGAGAGGUUCAGUCAACGGAUCUGCUACAUUCAGGUCCGUAUGUACUUUACAAAUAUCUAUGUCUCCAUCUUGAACAUUUUCACGAAUGGAGUUGAAGCGACGAUUGAUGUGGCUGGUCUUCUUGUGAAACCUGGGCUCCUUGGCGAGUGCAAUAGCUCCAGUCUUGUCACAGAAGAGUUUGAUCGGCCCCGACGCAUUGGGUAUGACUCCUAGGUCGGUGAUGAACUCCUUCACCCAAAUUGCUUCAUGCGCUGCCUCCGAGGCUGCCAUGUACUCCGCUUCACAUGUAGAUCCCGCCACGACGCUCUGCUUGCAACUGCACCAGUUUACUGCCCCACCAUUCAAAAUAUACAUGUAUCCGGUUUGUGACUUAGAGUCAUCCAGAUCUGUGUCGAAGCUAGCGUCGACGUAACCCUUUACGACGAGCUCUUCGUCACCUCCAUAAACGAGAAACAUUUCCUUAGUCCUUUUCAGGUACUUCAGGAUAUUCUUGACCGCUGUCCAGUGUUCCUUGUCGGGAUUACUUUGGUACCUACCUACCAAACUUAUGGCAAGGUUUACAUCAGGUCUGGUACACAGCAUGGCAUACAUAAUAGAACCUAUGGCUGAGGCAUAGGGGAUGACACUCAUCUCUUCUAUAUCUUCUGCCGUGGUCGGACAUUGAGCUGAGCUCAAUUUCACACCUUGCAACACAGGCAAGAACCCCUUCUUAGACUGAUCCAUAUUGAACUUCUUCAAUAUCUUAUCAAGGUAUGUGCUUUGUGAAAGACCUAUGAGGCGUCUUGAUCUAUCUCUAUAGAUCUUGAUGCCUAAUAUAUAAGCAGCUUCUCCAAGGUCCAUCAUUGAAAAACUCUUAUUCAAGUAGGCCUUAUGUUGGAAAUAUGCCCUAGAGGCAAUAAUAAAAGCAUUAUUAUUAUAUUUCCUUGUUCAUGAUAAUUGUCUUUAUUCAUGCUAUAAUUGUGUUAUCCGGAAAUCGUAAUACAUGUGUGAAUAAUAGACACCAACAUGUCCCUAGUAAGCCUCUAGUUGACUAGCUCGUUGAUCAACAGAUAGUCAUGGUUUCCUGACUAUGGACAUUGGAUGUCAUUGAUAACGAGAUCACAUCAUUAGGAGAAUGAUGUGAUGGACAAGACCCAAUCCUAAACAUAGCAUAAGAUCGUAUAGUUCGUUUGCUAGAGUUUUCCAAUGUCAAGUAUCUUUUCCUUAGACCAUGAGAUCGUGUAACUCCCGGAUAACGUAGGAGUUCUUUGGGUGUACCAAAUGUCACAACGUAACUGGGUGACUAUAAAGGUAUACUACGGGUAUCUCCGAAAGUGUCUGUUGGGUUGACACGGAUCAAGACUGGGAUUUGUCACUCCGUAUGACGGAGAGGUAUCACUGGGCCCACUCGGUAAUGCAUCAUCAUAAUGAGCUCAGAGUGACCAAGUGUCUGGUCACGGGAUCAUGCAUUACGGUACGAGUAAAGUGACUUGCCGGUAACAAGAUUGAACGAGGUAUUGGGAUACCGACGAUCGAAUCUCGGGCAAGUAACAUACCGAUUGACAAAGGGAAUUGUAUACGGGAUUGAUUGAAUCCUCGACAUCGUGGUUCAUCCGAUGAGAUCAUCGAGGAGCAUGUGGGAGACAACAUGGGUAUCCAGAUCCCGCUGUUGGUUAUUGACCGGAGAGCGAUCUCGGUCAUGUCUACAUGUCUCCCGAACCCGUAGGGUCUACACACUUAAGGUUCGGUGACGCUAGGGUUGUAGGGAUAUGUAUAUGCAGUAACCCGAAUGUUGUUCGGAGUCCCGGAUGAGAUCCCGGACAUCACGAGGAGUUCCGGAAUGGUCCGGAGGUAAAGAAUUAUAUAUAGGAAGUGCUAUUUCGGGCAACGGGACAAGUUUCGGGGUCACCGGUAUUGUACCGGGACCACCGGAAGGGUCCCGGGGGUCCACCGGGUGGGGCCACCUGCCCCGGGGGGCCACAUGGGCUGUAGGGGUGUGUGCCUUGGCCUACAUGGGCCAAGGGCACCAGCCCCAAGAGGCCCAUGCGCCUAGGGUUCAAGAAGGGAAGAGUCCCAAAGGGGGAAGGCACCUCCUAGGUGCCUUGGGGAGGAGGGAUUCCUCCCUUGGCCGCCCCCCCCCCUAGGAGAUUGGAUCUCCUAGGGCCGGCGCCCCCCCUUGGCCCUUCUAUAUAUAGUGGGAGAUGGAGGACUUCUGACCCCAUGCCUUUGGUGCCUCCCUCUCCCUCUCCAACACAUCCUCCUCCUCCAUAGUGCUUGGCGAAGCCCUACCGGAGUACUGCAGCUCCAUCACCACCACGCCGUCGUGCUGCUGUUGGAGCCAUCUCCCUCAACCUCUCCUUCCCCCUUGCUGGAUCAAGAAGAAGGAUACGUUACGCUAACCGUACGUGUGUUGAACGCGGAGGUGCCGUCCGUUCGGCGCUAGGAUCUCCGGUGACUUGGAUCACGUCGAGUGCGCCUUCCUCAUCCCCGUUCUUUGAACGCUUCCGCGCGUGAUCUACAAAGGUAUGUAGAUGCAAUCCAAUCACUCGUUGCUAGAUGAAUUCAUAGAUGGAUCUUGGUGAAACCGUAGGAAUUUUUUUUGUUUUCUGCAAUGUUCCCCAACACCUUAAUGCUGUCCAAAAGUUCUAUAUCAUUUCCCAUCAAAAGUAUGUCAUCUACAUAUAAUAUGAGAAAUUCUACAGAGCUCCUACUCACUUUCUUGUAAACGCAGGCUUCUCCAUAAGUCUGCAUAAACCCAAACGCUUUGAUCAUCUCAUCAAAGCGAAUAUUCCAACUCCGAGAUGCUUGCACCAGCCCAUAAAUGGAUCGCUGGAGCUUGCAUACCUUGUUAGCAUUUUUAGGGUCGACAAAACCUUCCGGCUGCAUCAUAUACAAUUCUUCCUUAAGGAAACCAUUAAGGAAUUCCGUUUUGACGUCCAUUUGCCAUAUCUCAUAAUCAUAGUAUGCGGCAAUUGCUAACAUAAUUCGGACGGACUUCAGCUUCGCUACGGGAGAGAAAGUCUCAUCGUAGUCAACCCCUUGAACUUGCCGAUAACCCUUAGCGACAAGUCGAGCUUUAUAGAUGGUAGCAUUACCAUCCGCGUCCGUCUUCUUCUUAAAGAUCCAUUUGUUUUCUAUCACUCGCCGAUCAUCGGGCAAGUCUGUCAAAGUCCAUACUUUGUUUUCGUACAUGGAUCCUAUCUCGGAUUGCAUGGCUUCAAGCCAUUUGUUGGAAUCUGGGCCCGCCAUCGCUUCUUCAUAGUUCGAAGGUUCACCGUUGUCUAACAACAUGAUUUCAAAGACAGGGUUGCCAUACCACUCUGGUGCGGAACGUGUCCUUGUGGACCUACGAAGUUCAGUAGCAACUUGAUCUGAAGUUUCAUGAUCAUCAUCAUUAACUUCCUCUCUAGUCGGUGCAGGCACCUCAGGAACAUUUUCUUGAGUUGCACCACUUACUGGUUCAAGAGGUAAUACUUCAUCAAGUUCUACUUUCCUCCUACUUACUUCUUUCGAGAGAAACUCUUUCUCUAGAAAGGAUCCAUUCUUGGCAACAAAGAUCUUGCCUUCGGAUCUGAGGUAGAAGGUAUACCCAAUAGUUUCUUUAGGGUAUCCUAUGAAGACGCAUUUUUCUGACUUGGGUUCGAGCUUUUCAGGUUGAAGUUUCUUGACAUAAGCAUCGCAUCCCCAAACAUUUAGAAACGACAACUUAGGUUUCUUCCCAAACCAUAAUUCAUACGGUGUCAUCUCAACGGAUUUCGACGGAGCCCUAUUUAAAGUGAAUGCGGCAGUCUCUAAAGCAUAGCCCCAAAAAGAUAGUGGUAAAUCGAUAAGAGACGUCACAGAUCGCACCAUAUCUAAUAGAGUGCGAUUACGACGUUCGGACACACCAUUACGCUGAGGUGUUCCAGGCGGCGUGAGUUGUGAAACUAUUCCACUUUUUCUUAAGUGUGUGCCAAAUUCGUGACUCAAGUAUUCUCCUCCACGAUCUGAUCGCAAGAACUUGAUUUUCCUGUCACGUUGAUUCUCAACCUCACUAUGAAAUUCCUUGAACCUUUCAAAGGUCUCAGACUUGUGUUUCAUUAAGUAGACAUACCCAUAUCUACUCAAGUCAUCAGUGAGGGCGAGAACAUAACGAUAACCACCGCGAGCCUCAACACUCAUUGGACCGCACACAUUAGUAUGUAUGAUUUCCAAUAAGUUGGUUGCUCGCUCCAUUGUUCCUGAGAACGGAGUCUUGGUCAUUUUACCCAUGAGGCAUGGUUCGCACGUGUCAAAUGAUUCGUAAUCAAGAGACUCUAAAAGUCCAUCUGCAUGGAGCUUCUUCAUGUGUUUGACACCUAUGUGACCAAGGCGGCAGUGCCACAAGUAUGUGGGAAUAUCAUUAUCAACCUUACAUCUUUUGGUACUCACACUAUGAAUAUGUGUAGCAUUACGCUCGAGAUUCAUUAAGAAUAAACCAUUCACCAUCGAAGCAUGACCAUAAAACAUAUCUCUCAUAUAAAUAGAACAACCAUUAUUCUCGGAUUUAAAUGAGUAGCCAUCUCGUAUCAAACGAGAUCCUGAUACAAUGUUCAUGCUCAAACUUGGCACUAAAUAACAAUUAUUGAGGUUCAAAACUAAUCCCGUAGGUAAAUGUAGAGGUAGCGUGCCGACGACGAUCACAUCGACCUUGGAACCAUUCUCGACGCACAUCGUCACCUCGUCCUUCGCCAGUCUCCGCUUAUUCCGCAGCUCCUGCUUUCAGUUACAAAUGUGAGCAACUGCACCGGUAUCAAAUACCCAGGAGCUACUACGAGUACUGGUAAGGUACACAUCAAUUACAUGUAUAUCACAUAUACCUUUCGUUUUGCCGGCCUUCUUGUCCGCUAAGUAUUUGGGGCAGUUCCGCUUCUAGUGACCACUUUCCUUGCAAUAAAAGCACUCAGUCUCGGGCUUGGGUCCAUUCUUUGGCUUCUUCCCGGCAGGUUGCUUGCCGGGCGCGGCAACUCCCUUGCCGUCCUUCUUGAAGUUCUUCUUACCCUUGCCUUUCUUGAACUUAGUGGUUUUAUUCACCAUCAACACUUGAUGUUCCUUUUUGACUUCUACCUCUGCUGAUUUCAGCAUUGCAAAUACUUCAGGAAUGGUCUUUUCCAUCCCCUGCAUAUUGAAGUUCAUCACAAAGCUCUUGUAGCUCGGUGGAAGCGACUGAAGGAUUCUGUCAAUGACCACGUCAUCCGGGAGAUUAACUCCCAGCUGAGUCAAGCGGUUAUGUAACCCUGACAUAGUGAGUAUGUGCUCACUGAGAGAACUAUUUUCCUCCAUCUUACAGCUGAAGAACUUGUCGGAGACUUCAUAUCUCUCGACCCGGGCAUGAGCUUGAAAAACCAUUUUCAGAUCUUCGAACAUCUCAUAUGCUCUGUGUCUCUCAAAACGCUUUUGGAGCCCCGGUUCUAAGCUGUAAAGCAUGCCACACUGAACGAGGGAGUAAUCAUCAACACGUGUCUGCCAAGCGUUCAUAACGUCGUGUUCCGCAGGGAGAACAGGUGCGUCACCUAGCGGUGCUUCUAGGACAUAAUCUUUCUUUGCAGCUAUGAGGAUGAUCCUUAGGUUCCGGACCCAGUCCGUAUAAUUGCUGCCAUCAUCUUUCAGCUUGGUUUUCUCUAGGAACGUGUUGAAGUUGAGGACAACGUUGGCCAUUUGAUCUACAAGACAUAUUGUAAAUAUUUUAGACUAAGUUCAUAAUAAUUAAGUUCAUCUAUUUAAUGAACUCCCACUUAGAUAGACAUCCCUCCAGUCAUCUAAGUAUAACAUGAUCCGAGUUAACUAGGCCCUGUCCGAUCAUCACGUGAGACGGACUAGCCAACAUCGGUGAACAUCUUCAUGUUGAUCGUAUCUUCUAUACGACUCAUGCUCGACCCUUCGGUCUUCUGUGUUCCGAGGCCAUGUCUGUACAUGCUAGGCUCGUCAAGUCAACCUAAGUGUUUGCAUGUGUAAAUCUGUCUUACACUCGUUGUAUGUGAAUGUUGAAUCUAUCACACCCGAUCAUCACGUGGUGCUCCGAAACAACGAACUGUCGCAACGGCGCACAGUUAGGGGGAACACUUUCUUGAAAUUAUUAUGAGGGAUCAUCUUAUUUACUACCGUCGUUCUAAGUAAACAAGAUACAAAAACAUGAUAAACAUCACAUGCAAUCAAAUAAUAAUAGUGACAUGAUAUGGCCAAUAUCACAUAGCUCCUUUGAUCUCCAUCUUGGGGCUCCAUGAUCAUCUUGUCACCGGCAUGACACCAUGAUCUCCAUCAUCAUGAUCUCCAUCAUCGUGUCUCCAUGAAGUUGCUCGCCAACUAUUACUUCUACUACUAUGGCUAACACGUUUAGCAAUAAAGUAAAGUAAUUUACAUGGCGUUUCUCAAUGACACGCAGGUCAUACAAAAAAUAAAGACAACUCCUAUGGCUCCUGCCGGUUGUCAUACUCAUCGACAUGCAAGUCGUGAUUCCUAUUACAAUAGCAUGAACAUCUCAUACAUCACAUAUAUAUCAUUCAUCAUUCAUCACAACUUUGGCCAUAUCACAUCACAAAACACUUGCUGCAAAAACAAGUUAGACGUCCUCUAAUUGUUGUUGCAAGUUUUACGUGGCUACAUACCCUUGUAGAUCACGAGCGGAAGCGUUCAAGAGAACGGGGUUGAUGGAGUCGUACUCGUCGUUAUCCAAAUCACCGAAGAUCCUAGCGCCGAACGGACGGCACCUCCGCGUUCAACACACGUACGGUCAGCGUGACGUCUCCUCCUUCUUGAUCCAGCAAGGGGGAAGGAGAGGUUGAUGAAGAUCCAGCAGCACGACGGCGUGGUGGUGGAUGCAGCAGUCACCGCAGCAGGGCUUCGCCGUUCUUCUGCGAGAGGGAGAGGUGUAGCAGGGGAGAGGGAGGCGCCAAGAGUCAAGGGUGCGGCUGCCCCUCCCUCCCCCCCUUUAUAUAGGCUCCCCAAGGGGGGGCGCCGACCCUAGGAGAUGGGAUCUCCUAGGGGGGGCGGCCAAGGGUGGAGUGGCCCCCAAGGCAAGUGGGGCGCCCCCCACCCUAGGGUUUCCAACCCUAGGCGCAGGGGGUGGGCCAAGGGGGGCGCACCAUCCCACUAUGGGCUGGUUCCCGUCCCCACUUCAGCCCAUGGGUCCCUCCAGGAUGGGUGGUCCCACCCGGUGGACCCCCGGGACCCAUCCGGUGGUCCCGGUACAAUACCGGUGACCCCCGAAACUCUCCCGAUGGCCGAAACUGCACUUCCUAUAUAUAAUUCUUCACCUCCGGACCAUUCCGGAACUCCUCGUGACGUCCGGGAUCUCAUCCUGGACUCCGAACAACUUUCGGGUUACUGCAUAUUCAUAUCUCUACAACCCUAGCGUCACCGAACCUUAAGUGUGUAGACCCUACGGGUUCGGGAGACAUGUAGACAUGACCGAGAUGGCUCUCCGGUCAAUAACCAACAGCGGGAUCUGGAUACCCAUGUUGGCUCCCACAUGAUCCUUGAUGAUCUCAUCGGAUGAACCACGAUGUCGAGGAUUCAAGCAACCCCGUAUACAAUUCCCUUUGUCAAUCGGUACGUUACUUGCCUGAGAUUCUAUCGUCGGUAUCCCAAUACCUCGUUCAAUCUCGUUACCGGCAAGUCACUUUACUCGUACCGUAAUGCAUGAUCCCGUGACCAGACACUUGGUCACUUUGAGCUCAUUAUGAUGAUGCAUUACCGAGUGGGCCCAGAGAUACCUCUCUGUCAUACGGAGUGACAAAUAACAGUCUUGAUCCGUGUCAACCCAACAGAUACUUUCGAAGAUACCCGUAGUAUACCUUUAUAGUCACCCAGUUACGUUGUGACGUUUGGUACACCCAAAGCACUCCUACGGUAUCCGGGAGUUACACGAUCUCAUGGUCUAAGGAAAAGAUACUUGACAUUGGAAAAACUCUAGCAAACAAACUAUACGAUCUUGUGCUAUGUUUAGGAUUGGGUCUUGUCCAUCACAUCAUUCUCCUAAUGAUGUGAUCUCGUUAUCAAUGACAUCCAAUGUCCAUAGUCAGGAAACCAUGACUAUCUGUUGAUUAACGAGCUAGUCAACUAGAGGCUUACUAGGGACAUGUUGGUGUCUAUGUAUUCAUACAUGUAUUACGAUUUCCGGAUAACACAAUUAUAGCAUGAAUAAAAGACAACUAUCAUGAACAAGGAAAUAUAAUAAUAAUCCUUUUAUUAUUGCCUCUAGGGCAUAUUUCCAAUAGGGCCACCUAUCCCGGAGGCCCCAUGGGCUGAAGUGGGAGGGGAACCAGCCCCUAGUGGGCUGGUGCGCCCCCCUUGGGCCUCCCCCUGCGCCUAGGGUUGGAAACCCUAGGGAUGGGAGGCGCCACCCUUGCCUUGGGGGGCAAGGCACCCCUUGGCCGUCGCCCCCCUAGGAGAUUGGAUCUCCUAGGGCCGGCGCCCCCCCUAGGCACCCUAUAUAUAGUGGGGGGAGGGAGGGCAGCUGCACCCAAGCCCUUGGCUUCUCCCUCUCCCUCCCGUGACACUCCUUCAUCUCCCUGCGCUUGGCGAAGCCCUACCGAGAUCACCGUUGCUUCCACCACCACGCCGUCGUGCUGCUGGAUCUUCAUCAACCUCUCCUUCCCCCUUGCUGGAUCAAGUUGGAGGAGACGUCUUCCCAACCGUACAUGUGUUGAACGCGGAGGUGUCGUCCGUUCGGCACUUGGUCAUCGGUGAUUUGGAUCACGUCGAGUAUGACUCCAUCAACCCCGUUCUCUUGAACGCUUCCGUGCGUGAUCUACAAGGGUAUGUAGAUGCACUCCUCUCCCCCUCGUAGCUAGAUGACUCCAUAGAUUUAUCUUAGUGAUGCGUAGAAAAUUUUAAAAUUCUGCUACGUUCCCCAAUAGUGGCAUCAGGAGCUAGGUCUAUGCGUAGUUACCAUGCACGAGUAGAACACAAAGCAGUUGCGGGCGUCGAUAUUGUCAAUUUGCUUGCCGUUACUAGUCUUAUCUUGAUUCGGCGGCAUCGUGGGAUGAAGCGGCCCGGACCGACCUUACACGUACGCUUACGUGAGACUGGUUCCACCGACUGACAUGCACUAGUUGCAUAAGGUGGCUGGCGGGUGUCUGUCUCUCCCACUUUAGUCGGAUCGGAUUCGAUGAACGGGGUCCUUAUGAAGGGUAAAUAGAAAUUGGCAAUUCACGUUGUGGUUUUGGCGUAGGUAAGAAACGUUCUUGCUAGAAACCUAUAGCAGCCACGUAAAAACUUGCAACAAUAAUUAGAGGAUGUCUAACUUGUUUUUGCAGCAAGUGUUUUGUGAUGUGAUAUGGUCAAAGGAUGUGAUGAAUGAUAUAUGUGAUGUAUGAGAUGAUCAUGUUCUUGUAAUAGGAAUCACGACUUGCAUGUCGAUGAGUAUGACAACCGGCGGGAGCCAUAGGAGUUGUCUUUAUUUAUUUAUGACCUGCGUGUCAAUAUAAACGUCAUGUAAUUACUUUACUUUAUUGCUAAAGCGUUAGCCAUAGUAGUAGAAGUAAUAGAUGACGAGACAACUUCAAGAAGACACGAUGAUGGAGAUCAUGAUGAUGGAGAUCAUGGUGUCAUGUCGGUGACAACAAUGAUCAUGGAGCCCCGAAGAUGGAGAUCAAAAGGAGCAAAUGAUAUUGGCCAUAUCAUGUCACUAUUUGAUUGCAUGUGAUGUUUAUCAUGUUUUACAUCUUAUUUGCUUAGAACGACGGUAGCUUAAAUAAGAUGAUCCCUCGCAAUAAUUUCAAGAAAGUGUUCCCCCUAACUGUGAACCGUUGCGAACGUUCGUUGUUUCGAAGCACCACGUGAUGAUCGGGUGUGAUAGAUUCUAACGUUCGAAUACAAUGGGUGUAAGCCAGAUUAACACACGCAAUACACUUAGGUUGACUUGACGAGCCUAGCAUGUACAGACAUGGCCUCGGAACACGGAAGACCGAAAGGUCGAGCAUGAGUCGUAUAGAAGAUACGAUCAACAUGAAGAUGUUCACCGAUGUUGGCUAGUCCGUCUCACGUGAUGAUCGGACACGGUCUAGUUAUCUCGGAUCAUGUUUCACUUAGAUGACUGGAGGGAUGUCUAUCUGAGUGGGAGUUCAUUGAUUAAUUUGAUUAGAUGAACUUAAUUAUCAUGAACUUAGUCUAAAAUCUUUACAAUAUGUCUUGUAGAUCAAAUGGCCCACGUUGUCCUCGACUUCAACGCGUUCCUAGAGAAAACCAAGCUGAAAGACGAUGGCAAUAACUAUACGGACUAGGUCCGGAACCUGAGGAUCAUCCUCAUAGCUGCCAAGAAAGAUUAUGUCCUAGAAGCACCGCUAGGUGACGCACCUGUCCCAGAGAACCAAGACGUUAUGAACGUUUGGCAGUCACGUGCUAAUGAUUACUCUCUCGUUCAGUGCGGCAUGCUUUACAGCUUAGAACCGGGGCUCCAAAAGCGUUUUGAGAGACACGGAGCAUAUGAGAUGUUCGAAGAGCUGAAAAUGGUUUUUCAAGCUCAUGCCCGGGUCGAGAGAUAUGAAGUCUCCGACAAGUUCUUUAGCUGUAAGAUGGAGGAAAAUAGUUCUAUCAGUGAGCACAUACUCAAAAUGUCUGGGUUGCAUAACCGCUUGACUUAGCUGGGAGUUAAUCUCCCGGAUGAAGCGGUCAUUGAUAGAAUCCUUCAGUCGCUUCCACCAAGCUACAAGAGCUUUGUGAUGAACUUCAAUAUGCAGGGGAUGGAAAAGACCAUUCCUGAGGUAUAUUCAAUGCUGAAAUCAGCAGAGGUGGAAAUCAAAAAGGAACAUCAAGUGUUGAUGGUGAAUAAAACCACUAAGUUCAAGAAAGGCAAGGGUAAGAAGAACUUCAAGAAGGACGGCAAGGGAGUUGCCACGCCCGGUAAGCAAGCUGCCGGGAAGAAGCCAAAGAAUGGACCCAAGCCCGAAACUGAGUGUUUUUAUUGCAAGGGAAGUGGUCACUGGAAGCGGAAGUGCCCCAAAUACUUAGCGGACAAGAAGGCCGGCAACACUAAAGGUAUAUGUGAUAUACAUGUAAUUGAUGUGUACCUUACCAGUACUCGUAGUAGCUCCUGAGUAUUUGAUACCGGUGCGGUUACUCACAUUUGUAACUCAAAGCAGGAGCUGCGGAAUAAGUGGAGACUGGCGAAGGACGAGGUGAUGAUGCACGUCGGGAAUGGUUCCAAGGUCGAUGUGAUCACCGUCGGCACGCUUCCUCUACAUUUACCUACGGGAUUAGUUUUAAACCUCAAUAAUUGUUAUUUAGUGCCAGCUUUGAGCAUGAACAUUGUAUCAGGAUCUCGUUUAAUUCGAGAUGGCUACUCAUUUAAAUCCAAGAAUAAUGGUUGUUCUAUUUAUAUGAGAGAUAUGUUUUAUGGUCAUGCUCCGAUGGUGAAUGGUUUAUUCUUAAUGAAUCUCGAGCGUAACGCUACACAUAUUCAUAGUGUGAAUACUAAAAGAUGUAAGGUUGAUAAUGAUAGUCCCACAUACGUGUGGCACUGUCGCCUUGGUCACAUAGGUGUCAAACGCAUGAAGAAGCUCCAUGCAGAUGGACUUUUAGAGUCUCUUGAUUACGAAUCAUUUGACACGUGCGAACCAUGCCUCAUGGGUAAAAUGACCAAGACUCCGUUCUCAGGAACAAUGGAGCGAGCAACCAACUUAUUGGAAAUCAUACAUACUGAUGUGUGCGGUCCAAUGAGUGUUGAGGCUCGCGGUGGCUAUCGUUAUGUUCUCACCCUCACUGAUGACUUGAGUAGAUGUGGGUAUGUCUACUUAAUGAAACACAAGUCUGAGACCUUUGAAAAGUUCAAGGAAUUUCAGAGUGAGGUUGAGAAUCAACGUGACAAGAAAAUCAAGUUCUUGCGAUCAGAUCGUGGGUGAGAAUACUUGAGUCACGAAUUUGGCACACACUUAAGAAAAUAUGGAAUAGUUUCACAACUCACGCCGCCUGGAACACCUCAGCGUAAUGGUGUGUCCGAACAUCGUAAUCGCACUCUAUUAGAUAUGGUGCGAUCUAUGAUGUCUCUUGCCGAUUUACCGCUUUCUUUUUGGGGCUAUUCUUUAGAGACUGCCGCAUUCAUUUAAAUAGGGCUCCGUCGAAAUCCGUUGAGACGACACCGUAUGAAUCAUGGUUUGGGAAGAAACCUAAGCUGUCGUUUCUAAAAGUUUGGGGAUGCGAUGCUUAUGUCAAGAAACUUCAACCUGAAAAGCUCAAACCCAAGUCGGAAAAAUGCGUCUUCAUAUGAUACCCUAAAGAAACUAUUGGGUAUACCUUCUACCUCAGAUCCGAAGGCAAGAUCUUUGUUGCCAAGAAUGGAUCCUUUCUAGAGAAGGAGUUUCUCUCGAAAGAAGUGGGAGGAAAGUAGAACUUUAUGAAGUAUUACCUCUUGAACCGGAAAAUGGCGCAACUCAAGAAAAUGUUCCUGAGGUGCCUGCACCGACUAGAGAGGAAGUUAAUGAUAAUGAUCAAGAUACUUCUGAUCAAGCUCCUACUGAAAUUCGAAGGUCCACAAGGACACGUUCCGCACCAGAGUGGUACGGCAACCCUGUCUUGGAAAUCAUGUUGUUAGACAACGGUGAACCUUCGAACUAUGAAGAAGCGAUGGCGGGCCCGGAUUCCGACAAAUGGCUGGAAGCCGAGUUAGGAUCCAUGUAUGAAAACGAAGUAUGGACUUUGACUGACUUGCCCGUUGAUCGGUGAGCCAUAGAAAAUAAAUGGAUCUUUAAGAAGAAGACAGACGCGGAUGGUAAUGUGACCAUCCAUAAAGCUCGGCUUGUCGCUAAGGGUUAUCGACAAGUUCAAGGGGUUGACUACGAUGAGACUUUCUCACCCGUAGCGAAGCUGAAGUCCGUCCGAAUCAUGUUAGCAGUUGCCGCAUUCUAUGAUUAUGAGAUAUGGCAAAUGGACGUCAAAACGGCUUUCCUUAAUGGUUUCCUUAAGGAAGAAUUGUAUAUGAUGCAGCCGGAAGGUUUUGUCGAUCCUAAGAAUGCUGACAAGGUGUGCAAGCUCCAAAGCUCGAUUUAUGGGCUGGUGCAAGCAUCUCGGAGUUGGAACAUUCGUUUUGAUGAGAUGAUCAAAGCGUUUGGGUUUACGCAGACUUAUGGAGAAGCCUGCAUUUACAAGAAAGUGAGUGGGAGCUCUGUAGCAUUUCUCAUAUUGUAUGUGGAUGACAUACUGUUGAUGGGAAAUGAUAUAGAAUUCUUGGAAAGCAUAAAGGCCUACUUGAACAAGUGUUUUUCAAUGAAGGACCUUGGAGAAGCUGCUUAUAUAUUAGGCAUCAAGAUCUAUAGAGAUAGAUCGAGAUGUCUCAUUGGUCUUUCACAGAGUACGUACCUUGACAAGAUAUUGAAGAAGUUCAAAGUGGAUCAGUCAAAGAAGGGAUUCUUGCCUGUAUUGCAAGGUACGAGAUUGAGCACGGCUCAAUGCCCGACCACGGCAGAAGAUAGAGAAAAGAUGAGUGUCGUCCCCUAUGCCUCGGCCAUAGGGUCUAUCAUGUAUGCUAUGCUGUGUACCAGACCUGAUGUAAACCUUGUCGUAAGUUUGGUAGGAAGGUACCGAAGUAAUCCUGGCAUGGAACACUGGACAUCGGUCAAGAAUAUCCUGAAGUACCUAAAAAGGACUAAGGACAUGUUUCUCGUGUAUGGAGGUGACGAAGAGCUCGUCGUAAAGGGUUACGUCGAUGCUAGCUUCGACACAGAUCUGGAUGACUCUAAGUCACAAACCAGAUACGUGUAUAUUUUGAAUGGUGGGGCAGUAAGCUGGUGCAGUUGCAAGCAAAGCGUUGUGGCGGGAUCUACAUGUGAAGCGGAGUACAUGGCAGCCUCGGAGGCAGCACAAGAAGCAGUCUGGUUGAAGGACUUCAUUACCGACCUAGGAGUCAUACCCAAUGCGUCGGGCCCGAUGACUCUCUUCUGUGACAACACUGGAGCUAUUGCCCUUGCCAAGGAGCCCAGGUUUCACAGGAAGACCAGGCAUAUCAAGCGUCGCUUCAACUCCAUUCGUGAAAGUGUUCAAAAUGGAGACAUAGAGAUUUGUAAAGUACAUACGGACCUGAAUGUGGCAGAUCCGUUGACUAAACCUCUCCCUAGAGCAAAACAUGAUCAACACCAGAACUGCAUGGGUGUUCGAUUCAUCACAAUGUAACUAGACUAUUGACUCUAGUGCAAGUGGGAGACUGUUGGAAAUAUGCCCUAGAGGCAAUAAUAAAAUGGUUAUUAUUAUAUUUCUUUGUUCAUGAUAAUUGUCUAUUGUUCAUGCUAUAAUUGUGUUAUCCGGAAAUCGUAAUACAUGUGUGAAUACAUAGACCACAACACGUCCCUAGUGCGCCUCUAGUUGACUAGCUCGUUGAUCAAAAGAUAGUCAUGGUUUCCUGACUAUGGACAUUGGAUGUCCUUGAUAACGGGAUCACAUCAUCAGGAGAAUGAUGUGAUCGACAAGACCCAAUCCUAAGCAUAACUCAAAGAUCGUGUUGUUCGUUUGUUGUAGCUUUUCUAAAUGUCAAGUAUCAUUUCCUUAGACCAUGAGAUUGUGCAACUCCCGGAUACCGUAGGAGUGCCUUGGGUGUGCCAAACGUCACAACGUAACCGAGUGACUAUAAAGGUACAUUACAGGUAUCUCCGAAAGUGUCUGUUGGGUUGGCACGAAUCGAGACUGGGAUUUGUCACUCCGUAUGACGGAGAGGUAUCUCUGGGCCCACUCGGUAAUGCAUCAUCAUAAUGAGCUCAAUGUGACCAAGUGGUUGAUCACGGGAUCAUGCAUUACGGCACGAGUAAAGUGACUUGCCGAUAACGAGAUUGAACUAGGUAUUGGGAUACCGACGAUCGAGUCUCGGGCAAGUAACGUACCGAUUGACAAAGGGAAUUGUAUACGGAUUGAUUGAAUCCUCGACAUCGUGGUUCAUCCGAUGAGAUCAUCGUGGAGCAUGUGGGAGCCAACAUGGGUAUUUAGAUCCCGCUGUUGGUUAUUGACCGGAGAGGCGUCUCGGUCAUGUCUGCAUGUCUCCCGAACCCGUAGGGUCUACACACUUAAGGUUCGGUGACGCUAGGGUUGUUGAGAUAUUAGCAUACGGUAACCCGAAAGUUGUUCGGAGUCCCGGAUGAGAUCCCGGACGUCAUGAGGAGUUCCGGAAUGGUCCGGAGGUGAAGAUUUAUAUAUAUGAAGUCAAGUUUCGGCCAUCGGGAAAGUUUUGGGGGUAAUCGGUAUUGUACCGGGACUGCCGGAAGGGUCCCGGGGGUCCACCGGGUGGGGCCACCUAUCCCGGAGGGCCUCAUGGGCUGAAGUGGGAGGGGAACCAGCCCCUAGUGGGCUGGUGCACCCCCCUUGGGCCUCCCCCUACGCCUAGGGUUGGAAACCCUAGGGGUGGGGGGCGCCACCGUUGCCUUGGGGCAAGGCACCCCUUGGCCGCCGCCCCCCCUAGGAGAUUGGAUCUCCUAGGGCCGGCGCCCCCCUAGGCACCCUAUAUAUAGUGGGAGGGAGGGAGGGCAGCCGCACCCAAGCCCCUGGCCUCUCCCUCUCCCUCCUGUGACACUCCUCCGUCUCCCUACGCUUGGCGAAGCCCUGCCGAGAUCACCGUUGCUUCCACCACCACGCCGUCGUGCUGCUGGAUCUUCAUCAACCUCUCCUUCCCCCUUGCCGGAUCAAGUUGGAGGAGACGUCUUCCCAACCGUACAUGUGUUGAACGCGGAGGUGUCGUCCGUUCGGCACUUGGUCAUCGGUGAUUUGGAUCACGUCGAGUACGACUCCAUCAACCCCGUUCUCUUGAACGCUUCUGUGCGCGAUCUACAAGAGUAUGCAGAUGCACUCCUCUCCCCCUCGUAGCUAGAUGACUCCAUAGAUUGAUCUUGGUGAUGCGUAGAAAAUUUUAAAAUUCUGCUACGUUCCCCAACACUGCAUUCCCAGAAAAGUGCAUGGUGGCAAAAUCAACCCAGAGAUUUAGACUGAACAGAGUACAUGCGGAAAUAUUUUUCACACUGACGUUUCCACCAUUUGGGAUUGUCACCAUCAAAUUUGGGGAAAUCAGAACGAGAAAUGCGUGUAUUGGAACGACCCUGUGCUGAAUUUGGCCGGGAGUUGCCCAAAUUUUCCGGUUCAUCAGGCUCAUCAGAUAAGUCUUCAUAGGGAGAGAUUUGGGACAGGUUGGGCUCACCAUUGCCCAGGUUGAGUCUGGAUGUGCGGGGCGCACACAGAUUCGCCCCCUGCGGGUUUGGUGCAGCUUGGUGCCCGUUAGGAUGGCGUGGACCAGGACGCUAGUGAGGUGGUGCAGUCGUCAGUGGUGCCUACUCCAGGACGGCGACACGCUUCAGCACGCCAGUGAGAGAUUGCUGCAUCUCUUGAACUGCUGCGUCGAGGCCGUUGUUGGAGAUCAGUAGUCGUCCCAGCGUAGAUUCCGUGCGGUUGAGGGACGCAGUGGUGGACUGCGUGAGCGCAUCGAAGGCCUUGGCCGAGGACGACGCAUACGUGUCCACCACCGUGCGUAGUUCUUCGAGCCCCUUCGCGUUGUGAGCUCCCGCAUCUGAAACCGCCUUGCUCUGCUCGAUCGUCGCCUGCACAAGCUUUUGCAGCUCGGCCAGCGUGAGUUCCGCCGCCGCCAUGCGGGCAGACAGCGUCGGGCGACCGGGUCUCACCGUGGAAACCACUCGCAAUUUGUCCCAACCUCGCGCAGGUACACCAAGGUGUUUUGCGCGAAUUCCGAUCGGAAUCCACACCUUUUGCCAGGAAUUAGGGGUCAAAUCAGAAUAGAUCGCAGCGGAUGGGGAAAAACAUCGGGGCGGAUCAGAGAGGCUCUAGAUACCAAUUGCUGCAGUUCAGAUAGCAAUCCCUGCCAUGGCGAGGGUGUGGUUCAUAGAUCUCAGAGUUUCAUGGGGAAUUACAGAGAGAUUCAGAGGAGGAGGAAGCUAACUUGGGGAAGAAGAAGAUACAGAAUAGAGUAGUCUGUUGGUACAACUCAUCGAUGCCUCACUACUACCACACAGCAUGCCUAAAUACGCUACAAGACGGGCCGAGACAGAACAGCCCACACGCACACGGCUCCAGGCCCACUGGGUCGUGGCAUGGAUGGCGACCCCCUCGAGUGGUGAGGGUGAUCACAUUGUGGCAUUUGUUCUCACUACAAACAAAUAAUGGAAACAACAACGACUGCAUGCUCUUCUAUCCCCGAUUAUCAAUAAAGACUAUAGACCACUAUCAAGCAGGGGAGGAUUUACCUUCCCCCAAGCCCAGGCUUGGCGGUGGCAUGACACUUCGUGUGUUGUGGUUUUAUAUAGUGAUUUUGUGGGGGAAAAUGUGGCAUCCUAGCCACCUUAAUCUACGGUUUUACAUGCUUUGAGAAGUUUCUGAGUUGCCACUACCAUCAAGGAUUGUCUUGGUUUGCUAAAUUCUUGACCCUCCUUGUGGCUUGGCCUCCAAACUAUCAAGGAAUGGUAGAAUUUUACCACCAAUAGUGGGAAUCCAGCAAGGAAGUAGCUUGAGCACUCAUCAUGCUCACCCUUGCAAAAAAAUUAGAAAGUAGAGGUGGCAAUAUAUAACGAGCCGAUCAUUUUGGCAAUUAAAGUUGCCACACUAAAAGAAAAGCUGGUACUACCAUUAUGUUGAGCCCUAAAAAGUUAGGAACAUUUCUCCAAGAUAGUAGGUUAGUUUUACACAUGUUGGCCUGAUGACUUAUAAAAGUUCCAAUUAACAAAAGGAGGUAAAUAUUUUGCGUCAGUUUCAAAAAAUAAUUCCCAUGAGUAUUAUCUGAUGCUUUCUAAUCAAGGUAGUAAAACCGCUAACCAAAAGUCUUGUUUUGAAUAAUUAUUUCAUUUCGUGCGAGUUUGGAAUAGUUUGGGCUACACCCAAAAUAAAUUUACAUGUAUAUUUUUGAAACUGAUUUCAGAUACUUUUUUAGAACGAAAGGAAUUCUCAUAUUUUCUUUGAGGCAAAAAAGAAUUCUCAGAUUUUUUUUGAGACAAAAAUGAAUUCUCAGAUGCUGGAGCACCAGUGCUCUCUAGGCACCAGCGCUACUGGUGGGCUUCUUGGGCCACAGUGGACCUUGGAACUUGCGCCUAGACACUCCCGUUGAAUACGGACGCCGUCGCUAGCUUCUCCUCGUCUCGUGGGCUUUCGCGCUUACUGACACGCCUCCCUUCGCCGACCCCGAGGGCAUGCAAGGCGAGCAGUUCUCUACUGGCUUCUCUCUGAACCCCCUCCGUCUGUUGACCAAUCUCAUCUUCUCCAGUCUCCGUCUUCCAUCUACAGAUCCUGCUCCUCUAACUACUCCCCUAUGUUCUUGAACAGUCCGGAUCCAAAUGGUAAAUCACCCAGAUUACUGCUCGCGUACACUUCAUCCAAUCAGUUCGUCUCUUAGCUUACUGACACGACUUAAAUUAAGCUAACCCUAGAUCUCAUGUCCUGCAACCGUGCGAUCGACCGAUGACCGGUCAUGGUUGGACUUGGGCGGUGGAUCGUGGACGGCGAUCGAGCGUGCGCGCGCUCCGGCCGGCGCAGAGGGCCGGGAAGGGCGGGGCAUUCCCUGACGGCGUCGGCAGGCAUGCACCAACCCGAGAAGAGAAGCCCUUUCCCGGCCCGGACCCUGGUGCGAUGUCCGAGCUUUGGGAGACUGCGCGCCAGGCCAUGCGGUUACUGUUGCAUGUGCUGCCAUUCCCAUGCACGCACGCACUGACGCCGGUGCGAGUGACUGACGAGCACGCACACGGCGCAGGUGACUUUCAUUUGGAUGGUGGUGGUGCAUGGGGGGUCGAGGCGAAAGGAUCCCUGCCGCCUCUGCGCGCCUGCGGCCGCACCUGCAUGCAUGCGUAAAUUUUCGUGCGUACUGCGAGUAAAGGCAUGGCUGCAGAGCCGGCCGGCCAGGUAGCCCCUACGUACUGCGGCUGCGCAGAAAGCUCGACCUAACCUACCCAGGCUAGCUAGUACUCCCUUCUUUCCGAUUUAUAGGGCUCAAUUCAAAAAUCUCACCAACCAAGGUAGAUGGUGAGUGGUGGAAUACUUUUUGUAGUUUGCAAAAGCAUCCAAUUAAUGCUCUUGUUUCCUCAAAAGAUUAUGUUUACCAAUGCAUUAAUUGCAAUGCAUGCAUGCAUAAAAUACAUGCAUUGAUCAAUUUUCUUUUAAUACUUGCAUGCAAUGAUUUAAUGCAUCUUGAAAUAUGAACUUGUGAUGGGGAACAACCAAUUGAGCCUUAUAAAAUGAAAAAACUAAAAUUUUGAGAUAAGCCUUAUAAACUGGAAAGGAGGGAGUAGUACUACAUGGAGCCUGGACGCGUGCGUGCGUGCGUGCGUUUUCACUCGCCAUCGCCGGCGUCUUCCUUCGCCUCCGACUCGCCGUAGCAGCCUAGCUAGGCUAGGGGGCUACGUAUAGCACAGCGACGUAGGCUCGUAAUGAGAUGGUGAUUGCACUGCAUGCAUGGGUGCCGCUGCCAUCUGGGAUCUCGCGUUCACUCUUUUUCUAUUGCUAUAUUACGUGUACCGGCGUGCACGGGUAGGGGUAGAUGCAUUUUUAAAAUUUUAGGAUCGGGAUUUUUGAAACGGAAUUGCUAAAUCUCAGUCGAUUGAGAUUUAGUGAAAUCUUAGUCGAUGCCAUAUGCGUUAGAUCUUCCGUAGAGAUUCGUGUAAACUUUUUCUUUUUAUAUGUUCAAUCAUUUCGUUAAGUCUUAGUCGACUAUGAUCUAUCCACACCCUUUCGGAAAACCAGCGAUAAUUGACAAAAUUAGCCCCGCAUUAAUUAGAAGUCCAUUCAGAAAUGAAACUUUGACUACAUCUAACACAUUUGCUUGCUCAAACACUAGCUCAGUACUUUUGGUGCUGAGCUUGGCAAUGUAAGUACUGCUCUAGGCCCUUCCUCGGCAUCGGCACAUAGUACACCCUGCUCUUGUCCCGCAGCUAGCUCUGGGCUCUGGCCAUUGCCAACUCUGAUCGACCGAUACUUCGCGGAGCAGCAAAAGCUCGACAGGUUUCGCUGAUUCCUAGGGCGCUCGCGCGGGCAUGGGCAUCGAUCGAUCCGUUGCAUGUUUCCGGUGUGCGCAUCUCGCACAAACUAAACUAAUCUAACGAGCACGUACGUAAUUCCGCUAAAAGUUAACGAGGUGUUCUGUGGGCUGCAAGCAACGGGUGGAUUGCCUUGCAAUUCUUGUUAAGCCUCCUCGAGCUCUGGCGCCGAUGCCUUCCUCGAUAACAAAGCAAGAUUGACCACAUCCCGUACGUACAGCCGAUGGGAAUUUGAAUAAUUUAAUCCACUGUUCAGAAGAUCGAUCUGCAUGAGACUAAAGUUACUGGGAGUGUCAGACUAAAAACAACUGGUGAAAGUUCAGCAAUUUUCUUUGGAGGGGAGCUUCAGCAUCUGUCGGUGGUUGUUUGGACUUUGGAUGCGUGGUUCCUAGUGGUGUUCCCUGGCACUUUUUGUUUACGUGGAGGCCCAUUUCAGAAUGAGCUGUUUCCGUCAGUGGUUAGUCCAAUCCUACCGACAUGCUCUGACUUUAUUCAAGCUGAUCCAUAUCACUGCCACGGAGUUAAGAGCACAUAGUAUGUUAGACAACAUUCAAAUUUUGCUCAGUAUCUGUUCCAGCGGGAAACAUGACCGUUUGAGUGGCUUGCUCCCGCUGGUACUGAAAACGUUUACUGCGUUGCCUCCCCGGAAUGCUCAAGGUAGCAUCUUCAUUCAACAUUGAACCUCAACUGAACCUUUCUCUUUUGUGCUUUUCAUGAUUGCGAUCUUCCACGAUGGGUGUUUGGUUUCAUCUGUGUUACUGUGAUGUUGGUACUUCCUCCGUUCCAAAAUAUAGCGCUUCCUCUAUUCCCGUGCUUCAACUUUGACCAUAAAUUUAACCAACCAGACCGACUGCGACGGGAGCAAAAGUUAUGUCAGCGAAUUCGUAUUCAAAAGAAGUUUUCAAUUAUAUAAUUUUUUUCUCCCACCGCAGUCGGUCUCGUUGGUUAAAUUUAUGGUCAAAGUUGGACCUCAGGAAGCGUGGGCGCACUAUAUUUUGAAAUGGAGGGAGUACUUUAUUAGAGCAUCUCCAACAGGCGCCAAAAAAGAGCUCCGCGCACUAAAAAUUCAUUUUUCGGGCGCCCAACAGCUUCAGCAGAUGCUGUAGCGCUAAAAAGUUUUGGGCGCGCGCUGAAAAACGCUAUCGCGCGCAGCAUAUUUUGGGCUCUGGAUUGGGCGCGCUUCAUAAUUUGCACUGUCUUCUUUUUGGGCGCGCGUCUUUGGACGUCUGCUAAAUCAAUGUUGGUCCCAUCGCACUAAAAGUGCUAUAGUGGCGCACUAUAAGUUUUAUUGGGCGCGAGAUUUUUGUGCGGCCGUUGGAGAUGCUCUUAUAGGCUAGCUAUAAACUUUGGUGAUAGCAGGUUUUUGCCCUGUAGAUUUGAUUUCGAUAUAGUCAUUUGCAGCAGUUUCCUGCAACCGCCCCAACUCGCUUUCCUCGCUCUUUCUCCCCCUUUGUUCAUACGGUUCCACUCCCUUCGUUCACAAAUACAAGAUGUCUAACUUUUUUGUAAAUUGAAUGUAUAUAUACAUGUUUAAUGUGAUUAUUAGCCCAUUUCAGUUUGUAUGUUCAUAUUGAAAUAUCCAAAACAUCUUUUAUUCAUGAACAGAGGGAGUAGUUUGGAACUGAUGUAUUUCUAUUAUGGAAAUUAAUGGAAGGCGGUAAUGCCCGGUUUGAAGAUAAAAGUAAACCUUUAUCUCCCCGAAAGAAACACACAUUACAAACCAUGGGUUUGGAGUUUCUUUUCCUUUCAAAAAAUAAACAAACAGAGAUAGCAUGAGUGUCAGCCCUUUGCAUUUCCAACAAGGAGCGAUCGUCGUUGCAUGCUUCACGGUAUACACAUAGAGCAGUUGGUCCCCACUCAGGCACGCAAAAGGCACCAUGAGAUGCAGUCAGCGCAGCUUCAAGGUGCUUCCCUACACCUCCGUGGUAGGGGUCUCACUAUCGCCGUUAGACCGACGGUGUGCAUCCUUGCACCGGACUGAUAUGCCCAACACAUAUUUUUGGUGGAAAAGGGAAUUUAUUGAUUGAAAAGGUUAUACACCUGACGUUCGCUCAUCUCGUCGUGGGCGCGACGCAGCGAGGGCCAUCAGAUAUCGUGCACGAAUCUUUAUGGGGACCGUGUGACAAACAUAGUGCUCUAUCAUUCGCUCCCUUGAAUUUCACCGCGUGAACACUCUUUCUGUUCCCCUCUCAGCAAACUUUCGUCACCACAUGUCUGUCCAUUUUUCUCCCAAAUAAUGUGGUGAGGCAGCGAAUGAACAACAACGCUCUCCAGUCCCACACAGGAGCUCCGAUCCCACGUCUCUUCCGUGAAUAAUAUUUGAGUGCAUUGCUACAUUAAGAAUGGUUUGAAGCAAUCAACCGCCAUCACAGAGAUUAAUGGAGAUAAUGGAUCACUAUGUCUAACUCCUCUUUUACAUGAAAUUGCUUUCCGGGUACUCCAUUAAGAAAAACCGAGGAAAACCCGAGUUGUACAUCAUCUUAAUCCAAUUAGUCCAUUUAUUUCCAAAGCCCCUACCAUAUAGGAUUUACAAGAUGAACUCAUGUUCUAUCGUGUCAAAUGCCUUUUCAAAGUCUAACUUGAGAAUCACAAUUUGUUUUUUGGGGUUGUUGCCAGUGAUGAAUGUACUCAAAAGCCUAGUCUAAGCAAUCCUGAAUGGAUUCUGUAUUUAAGAAGCCAUAUUGAUUAACAUUAACUAAUCCAAGGAUCACUUCAUGCUCCGUAUUUGAUAAUAUAUUUUUGAUAAUCUUGGCAUUAUAGUUAAGGAGAUAGAUAUGGUUCCUCCAUAUCCCUGGGAACUACCGUUCUACUCACACAUAAAGACAAUAGAAAUCAUCAUGUUGUUCAUGGCAAUAACAUAUGAAUGAUUAUUGUAACAGACAUAUAAAUCCACACUAGGGUUCUGUAUUACAAUGAGAUGAAUGGAGGGGUCGAUGUCAAGGUCGUAGAUGAUGAUGGUGGGAUGGUGGUGACGAUGAUCAAAGGCUCCUUGAUCGACCUGGUGGCAUGGAGGAGCCCUUCUACCAAUUCCCCUCUAGAUCCCUUCCAGAGGUGAGCUUUUUGCUUAUGUUUUGUGGUUCUGGCCUCUUUGUUCAUCGUCUAUGAAAUCCGAUCACACUGACAUGAAAUAUUUAACUAGGAGGAGGCAACACCACACAGUAUGAGGGCCAAAAUGAGCAAGCGAUGCUCAUACCUCACAUUGUCUUUCUCUCUUGAAGGCCAGGCGUGACUGGUUUUCUUCCCACGUGAUCUUCUAUUUGUUUGGAAGGUUAUUAAGCUUCUAAUUAGCUUGUUUUUCACCCGAAAAUAGAUGCUUUCUCAGCAAUGAUCAAAAUCUCCUUCUCCUUUACGAACUUGCAAAAUUUGGCAAAAGGCGUGAUAAAAUUAUCAAAAUCCUAUGACUAUAAUGCAAGAAUCAGGGGAGUGGUGUUUGUGUAAAAAGUGAUGCAAAACAACAUGACGAAUCCAUUAAACACUUAUUUUCUUAGUGAAAGUUUGGUCGUGCAGUGUGGGCCAUAGUUCAAGUAGUUUAAAACCUUUACCCCCACUAUUGUGCGGAUAACAUGUUAGGCAAUUGGUUACAGGGUAUUGACAAACAAUUUUACGCACACAUUCUUGUGGGGAUGGCAACCUUGUGUUGUGCUCUGUGUCAUAUGAAAGGAUACCGUAGAAGAAGUAUAUACAAACGCACGUGUAAAAAAUUAUAGUUUGCGUAGGUUUACCAAUCUCUGUCUAUUAUAUUUUAGGGUGGAAAAGAGUGCUCCAUAUCCAUAUAUGUUCUUGGAGGGGCCGUGAGAUCCCUUGUAACUAUAUAGAGUAGUUUCUCUGGCCGUGCAAAUGGAAUGAAAAUUUGCAAGAAAAUACAAUUCCAUUUUCCCACUAAAAAUGUAUUUGUGCUAAGUAUUUGAACGGUACGACAAUUAUAUACACAUAAUGUUCACAAUGUUAAUUCUCUUGAUUAUAACAAAACAAUAGUAUGCAAAAUAAUAAAUUAAAUGUUGUAUAUAAGUAAGAAAAUAUGUUGUUCACAAUAAAAAAGUUGUGCAAGCAAUGAAAUUAGCAUAACAUGUGAGAUGUUUUAACCUGUUUAGGCUCACAAGAACGUUGGUCCCUAACUAAUUUUUUAACAAUAGGAGAUCAUUUCGUGCCACACGCCUUGGUAGUGAGAUAGGCGUCACAGUAUGAGACAUAGAAAACUCAAGAGGGGCUUAUUAGUGGUAUCUUCGGGAAGUGAUCGCGAAUGGGAGAAAAUUCAUUAUAGUCACACUCAAAUGUACAAUUGGAUAAAAUAAACCUCAACACCGUGCAAGAGAAGGAAACCAUGAACACAAAUGGUUGUCUCACAUGGGCAUUGGGGAAUACAUCUCGAUUCGACCCUCCACAAGUGGCACACUUGUAGUUGAAGUCAUAUCAUCACAUGGGGAGGCACGUCGCACGACAAUAUGCAACCCGGGACCUUCGUGGCAAAUAGUUCAAGAUACUAUUCCGUCACGAUAUGCAUUACCUUCACAAGGAAAUAUGCAACCUCCUUGUACACCCCAAAUCAAAUUCUGACGUGAUAUGCAUUACCUUCAUUCAGGAACGAGGUCCCAGCCCAUCAUCAUACCUUCCUUCUAGUUCAACUUGCACACUCCGGUCCAUCCAAUUCAGUAAGUUCUUUACUCUUUCGACAACCUCAUCAUAACUAGGACUAGUCACAAAUACCAUGACUUUCUCCUUGUUGUCAAGAAUGUCAACAUUGUUACUCAAAAAUACUACUUGCCCAUAUAAUCAACAUCAACAAUUCUCGCCAUGUAAAAAACAUUGGCAAGAAGCGUAAUGCAUCAAUGACAACUAUGCUACUUAAUAUUUAAAGAAGUGUAUAGAACCAACCCAUGCCUUGACGGGAGAAUACGUUACGUGAUAGACGACGACUUGUUGUGCACCAUGCAAAAAAAAAACACUAGAAACCAUAUAUAACAUAGAUAACAACGAUACCUUUGUUUUAAGGGAUACCACUAGUACCCAAUAUGUCAAUAAAUUAAAAAUAAAAUUAAUAUUAUUGAUCAAGAAAAAACAUAGACAAGUUCGACAGUGAACAGUAUAGUACCUGGUAUAAAUUGGGCUUUAAAUUAGGUCCAUCAUUGUUAUUGAUAACAAAUUUACCGUUUUUGUCUUUUGACCUAUAUAUUUCAAAUUUGGAUUGGACUAGAUAUUUUUGGCACCAUAGACUUAUAUUGUGUCCAUGUGCUAAUUCAUUUUAAACAAUUGUUUAAACUUUUAAAAGCCCAAGCGAAGCUGGGUGCAUCUUUCCUUUUAUUUUUUGAGAGAGAGAGAGAGGGGGUGCAUCUUUCCUGGGUCAUGACAAUUUACAAGGUCAUCUCAAAGUGUCUGCCUAUCUAUGUUGCCGACUGUUUUUCUUCUCUUUAUUCUUUUCUACUUAUUGUUCAUAUUUCGAAAACUUCUAAUAUAUAUUUCAGAAACUAAUUUACUUCAAAAAAAUUAAACUUCACCACACAUUAAGAAUUGUUCAUGUAGUGUAAAAAUUUGUUCGCAUAGUUGGUAAAAACAAAUGUUCAUCGUAUUCUAAAGAAACAAUUCAUGCGUGUAAAAAAUGUUCAUGCCGUAUAUUUUUUUCUUGCAAGUUUCUUAUAAAAAAUGUGCCAUUCUAAAAGUGUCCACGAGUUUAAAUAAUGUCAACGUGUAUUUUAGAAAAUGUUUAUCAUGCAUUAUAAAAAUGCUCAUCACGAGUUAAAAAAAUGUGCAACACACACUCAAAAAAUGUUCAUCUCGUAAUAAUAAAAUGUUCAUCAUGACUUAAAAAAUCUUCAUCCUGUAUUUAUAAAAUGUUCAUUGCAUUAUAAUAAAUGUUUACACAUUUAAAAAAUAUUGAUGCAAUGCAAAAGUUUGUCUGCACAUGUUUUUAAAAAUGUUUAAGCCAUUCAAAAAAUUAAAGAUUAUUUCCAAAAUAUUCAACAUGUAUUUUUUUAUAAAAGCAUAUUAAAUACAAAUUCAUCGUGAGUUAAUAUUUUUGCCGUGUACGAAAAAGUGUUCACCAUGAAUUUAGAAGAUGUUCAUAUUGCAUUAAAAAUGUCAUUGUGUACUGAAAAAAUGUUCAACAUAAUUUAAUAAAAUAUUCACCAUGUGUUUCGAAAACAAGGUUUGACUUGUAUUUCAAAAAUGAUCAACUGGUGUUUAAAUAAUGUUCACCUUGAAUUAAAAAUGUCCAUAGUGCAUAUAAAAUAUGUUCAAUGUGCAUUUGAAAAAUAUUCAACAAGUAUUCAUAAAGAUAUCCAUCAUGUAUUUAUAAAAGAUUCAACAUGUAUCUGAAAAAUAUUUAACCUAUAUAUGUAAAAGGUUCAGUUUAUUUUUUGAAUAAAGUUCGCAUGUAUAUUCAAAAUGAAUAAAUUGAAAAUAAUAAUAAUGAAAAUCUGACAAACUGAACGAAACCGAAAGAAAACAAGAAUAAAAAACAAUGAAAACCAAUAGGAAAGUAGAAAAAGUACAAGAAUAAACAACAAACCCGGUAUGAAAAAACUGAAGAAAAAAGAAACAGAAAAAACCAAAAGUAAACCAACAUGAAUCGAUAGAAAAACACACAGAAAAAAUGCGGAAAGUUAUAAAAACAUUUGAUACCGUUCCAUAGAAGAAACCUUCCUAAGGCCGAGUGAUUGAGCCGGUCCACUAAGGGAAACCCCUUGAGGCGAGAUUUUAUCUUAUAUCUCGCAGUAGGCAAGAUAAAGCUUUUGCUCGAUAUCAACGGGUCAGUUUGGUUGCUUCCCUGGAGCAAAGGUGCCUGGCCUGGUGCUUGCCUGAGAACUGCUUGUGGUUUGUUUGGUUUGUGACCUGGAGAUCGAAUGCUAGCCUGGCCUGGGAAAGUGGAGCUCGUUGUUAGUCUAGCCGGUAAACUUGCGCGUGUGAUUUGCCUGGUCCAGGCCACCUGAAAUGGAUGCCUGGACAUGCCUCGGUGGUGCCUGGGAUGCUAACCCUGUCGUCCAAUUUAAAAAAAAAAGGAGAAGGUACAGGUGAAUAGUGACAUUGUUUAAUAUAUUUAACACUUAACAAGCAUGGCCACGAACCAAAUAAUGCUUGCCUGGUCAGGCAGAAAGCAGAGACAUCUCAGGCCCAGUCCAGGUACACAAUUUUUCCAGGCAUGACCUUCAGGACAUGAACCAAACAGCCUCAACGUCAUGCAUUUGAUACAACAUUGCCAAGCCUAACCUUUUGUUGCGUUGUCUUCAAUAGUUCAACAAUAAGUUAACAAAAUACAAUCCGGCCUAAGGCCGAAAUCACCGUUUUGACCUUUAAACACGUGUGGAACUAUUUCAAGAUCUGACCGCUGGUAGACGAACUACCGCCAAAGUGAACCACGGUAGCCCUCAGCCCACAUUUGGUCCACGGCUGCUACACGGCUGCUACAUGUCAGAAGUCUAUCUUUAACGGCUGCUACCGGGGUCUAUCGCCAUUGACCGUGUCAGUAGCCCAUUAACCCUACCACUGCCUUGUAGUAUGGUGGUAGACCAGAAGGUCAAAUCGUGAAAAGGUUUUAAAGCAAAGAAAUUUCAUGAUUAAUUUCGUUAAUAAGUUCGAAAGCCAAAACGGUGAUUUUUAGCCCGGCUCAGUUACUCUGGUGACAUAGUGUGCAACCCCUUUGUAACGUCAUUUUGUCAUGAGACGAUGUGCGCGUAGAGGAGUUGGUUCCAGACGUCGGGCACGCCGGGGAGGCACCGGUGGAUGCAGUCCGCGUAGCUGCUCGCGUCCCUCGCCUGCGCGUCCGUGAUGGGCUCCCACUGCCGCCGGUGCACCGACGGGUGCGCGUCCUUGCGCCGCUCCGACAUCGCCGUCACGUUCACCAGCCGCCGCGCCUGCUCCUCUACCGCAUGCGCGAACGCCGGGGCCGUGACGCCACGCCGCGCCUGCUCCUCUACCGCACGCGCGAACGCCGGGUCCGUGACGCCACGCUGGUAGCGGCCCCCCUCCUCCGCCGCAGCGAUCGGCUCCGUCUCGUUGUAGCACCCGUGGCUGGUGCCGCCGCCGGCGUCGUCGGCCCACUCGUCGGAGGGGAGGUGAGUCGGCGACAUGGUCAUGAAGAAGAGGCGGGUGCGUGCGCGGCCGACGUGGAACUCGAGCCAGUCGGCCCACGUCGCGAGCGCCAGCUCGAAAGUGCGCACGCCGUCGACCGCCUUGGUCACCCCGCAGUACUCGUCCUCUUUCGCCGCAGGUGCCUCGAACGACCCCCACCUGCAACGCAUCCACGCACGCGUCUAUGAUCGAAGGUUAACCAAGUUAGAGGCAAGUCAACGGUUCAAUGAUCAGUCCGUACUAACCGGACUUCGAUGGAGGGGCGGCGCCACCAGAGGUAGGAGUUGAAGAUGAGCACGUCGGCGUACGUCCAGUGCCGGGCGUGGUUGAGGAUGGAGGAGGUGUUGGAAAUAUGAGCAAUUUAUCAAAUGAUUUUAUUAACAAAAAUAUUAGAUAAAGCGUGACUAAUAUAGUAGAGAUAAAACAAGUCAUGCGUUCUGACAGAGAGAAGGUAAAUAGCUUCUGCAUAUAUGAAUCGUAGCCUAUCAUAUCUAAACCAGACAGUAUAGCAAGUAGCAUAUAUGAAGCAGAACCUAUCAUGUAUACCCAUUUGCAUCCUAUAGGUUUGCACCCAUAAGGACGAUCAGUUAUCUCCCAAGUUUCAUUCGCCAAGAUGGAAUCCAUCUCGCUACGAACCGCUUUCUUCUAGUACUCAGCAUCUUCAGAUGCAUAGGCCUCUGAAAUAAAACUUGGAGUGUCAUCUAUGAGGUACACAAGCAAAUCAUCACCAAAGGACUUUGCAGUCAUCUGUCUCUUGCUCUUAAUAGGAACUUCAUUGUUCUUCUUCACAGAACUUUCAAAGUGUUCCAUCGAAAUUGUAGGUUCGGUAAUUGUAACUGGUUCCUGAUUCGAUGAACUAGGCAUCUCCUGAUUAGAUGAGGUAGCCAUAUCCUUCAUGGGAAACAUAUCUUCAAAGAAAGUCGCAUCAUUCGACUCCAUGAUCGUACCGACAUGCAUGUCAGGUACCUCAGAUUUUACAACCAAGAAUCUAUAGCCAAUGCUAUGAAAAGCAUAUUUCAGGAAAACACAAUCCACAAUCUUUGGUCCAAGCUUCCGCUUCUUUGAAAUUGGAGCAUUGACUUUCGCCAAACAACCCCAUGUUCGCAGAUAAGAGAGUUUUAACCUUUUCUUCUCUUAUUCCUUGAAUGGAGUUAUCUCUUUGUUCUUUGUGGGGACCCGGUUCAGGACAUGACAUGCUGUCAAUAUCACCUCCCCCCACCAUGCCUUGGAGAGACCCGAUGUGUCUAACAUGGCGUUAACCAAAUCAGUUAGAGUACGGUUCUUUCUUUCGGCUGCCCCAUUUGACUGAGGUGAGUAGGGAGGCGUCCUCUCAUGGAUUAUACCAUGUUCCGCAUAAAAAGCAUCAAACUCAUUGGAAAAAUACUCUCCACCACGGUCGGACCUAAGCCUCUUGAUUUUCCGAUCAAGUUGGUUUUCCACUUCAGCUUUAUAAAUCUUGAAAAAGUUCAAAGCCUCACCCUUAGAUUUUAAAAGAUACACACGGCACUAUCUAGUGGAGUCAUCAAUUAACGUCAUGAAAUAUUUCUUUCCACCUUUUGUCAACACACCAUUCAUUUCACAUAGAUCUGAAUGUAUGAGCUCUAGUGGUGCAAGUUUUCUUAUUUCCGCAGUCGUGUGAGACUUACGAGGUUGCUUAGCUUGCACACAUACUUGACACUUAGAUCCCUUGACGAUGGUGAAACUAGGGGUUAAGUUCAACUUUGCUAGUCGCGACAUGCAACCAAAGUUAACAUGACAAAGACGUGAAUGCCACACAUUGGAUUUACUAUUGUUGCAAAUAUGAUUAACAACUUUAUUGCAAACGUCUGAUAAGGAUAAACGAAACAAGCCUCCUGACUCAUAACCUUUACCAACAAAGGUUCCAUACUUGGAUAUUACAAAUUUAUUCGACUCAAAGACAAGCUUGUAGCCAUCUCUAUACAGAAGAGAUCCGCUAACAAGAUUUUUAUUGACGGAGGGGACAUAAUGCACGUUCUUCAGCCGCACGAUCUUCCCCGAAGUAAACUUCAGAUUGACCGUGCCAACACCACGAACAGAAGCACUUGAACCGUUGCCCAUCAGCAUGGUUGAAGUCCCUGCGGUCUGAUAAGACGAAAACAUGGAAAUAUCACCGCAUACAUGCACAUUAGCACCCGUGUCAAUCAACCAGUCAGGAGAAUGACAUACUGAAAGAAUAGUGGGAAAUAUACUAUACCCAGCAUCCUUCAUGUCAGUGUCUCCAAUGACAACAUUAGCGGUCUUGCCGCCUUUCCCAGGAUGACGCUUGUCAUAGCGAUUAGGGCAACUAGGAGCCCAAUGAUCACGAUGCCCACACACAUGACAAGCACCUUUCUUCUUGCCAUUUUUCUUCUUGAAGUUCAUGUGUUGCACAACCUUGUUCUUCCCAUCAAACUUUGCUUUUCUAUCAAACUUGCCCUUGUUCUUGAACUUGUGGGGCUGAAAGUUCUGCUUCUGUACCACAUUGGCACUAGAUCCUCCCUCGAUACCUCGAGCACGUGUGUCCUUCGCUCUCGCCUUUUCUUCCACAUCAAGAGUGCCAAUGAGAUCCGAGACGGAAAACUUCUGCCUCUUAUGCUUCAGCAAGGUAGCAAAGUUCCUCCAUGAAGGAGGAAGCUUAGUGAUGAUACCUCCGGCAACAAACUUGUCCGGUAGCAUACAACUGAAGUGCUCAAGUUCUCUAGCAAAUGACUGUAUCUCAUGAGCUUGCUCAACCAUGGAGCGCUCUUCAGUCAUCCUGUAAAUCAGAGAAUUGAUCCAUGAUGUACAGCUCAGUGCCAGCAUCCGAGACCCCAAACUUGACCUCGAGUGCAUCCCACAUAUCUUUUCCAUUAUCAUUGACACAUAAGCAUCAAUUAUGUUCUCACCAAGAACACUCAAGAGAGCAGCCUUAAACAGAGUAUCCAUUUUCUGAAAAGCUUGUGCCUAUUGAGCAUCAAGCUCUCCUCCAGGUUUGCCGAGAGUGGCGUCAUAGCAACUCAUGGUUUGAAACCAUAAGACUGCUCUCACGCGCCACCUCUUAUAGUGGAUACCCUCAAACAUAGGAGGUCUCAUGGAAGCAGCAAAACCACUUGGGGUAAAUUGUCUAUAAUAAGGUUUUUGGAUUGUUGGAAAUAUGAGCAAUUUAUCAAAUGAUUUUAUUAACAUAAAUACUAGAUAAAGCAUGACUAAUAUAGUAGAGAUAAAACAAAUCAUGCGUUCUGAUAGAGAGAAGAUAAAUAGCUUCUGCAUAUAUGAACUGUAGCCUAUCAUAUCUAAAGCAGACAGUAUAGCAAGUAGCAUAUAUGAAGUAGAACCUAUUAUGUAUAGGACAAGGACUAGAACAAGGAACUGAGGCAGAACCUUUAAUAGGAAAGACAAGAACACGUAAGGGACAGCAGUAGCAGAAGCACUGGACUUGGGGUCGGUGUCCUCGCCUGCCAUGUCGUCGGGGAAGAAGUCGUCGGCAACCGGAUCGUCCGUGAUGAAGUAGCCAGUAGUCGCGUCGAGCGCUCCCCAAAAACCUUAUCACCCUUCUUCCGUACAGGACUCAAAAGGUGCGGUUUCAGAGGCCUACUGUCCCGACCUGCGGUGCACGCCGCAAGACGGGAUGGGGAAGAACGUAGCAACAGCGCAGUGGUCGGAACUUUGUGGCGAGAGGAAGAGGCGCGGCGAGGCAGGCGGCGGAGGAGGAGCACGCGUGGAUAUCCCUCUUGUACUCAUGCUCAUACAAGUGGGGAAAGAACCUCCCUUAUAAGAAGGUCCAACUCCCACUAAACUAGCAAUAUAAAACUAAACUUUAGUAGUAUCUCUUACCCUGCAUAAAUGGGCUAAGUGGACCUUUAGAAUUUAUUAGAAAUAUUUAAAAUAGUUAUUGGGCUGCCUAAAAUAGACUAAAUUCCCGCAGGAGACGUCCACGGUGCGGUCUAUGACGCGAUGGCGCACCGGGUGGUCGGAGUUGGACUCCACCAGCAGCGGCGACCAGUAGAAGUCCACCGACGCGUUGUACUCUUGAUACCGAUCCAUCUGUGAUCGGUCGAUUAGAGUUCAUGCAUGUGACUUUGAUCGAUCGUGCCAUGUGAUUAGUAAGUUGGUGCAUACGUGCACGUUGAAGGAGACGAGGGUUCCGGCGGAGAUGAGCGUCUUGUGGAGGCCCUGGGUGGCGGUGUCGAUGAGGCAGACCAUGGACACCCACUGGUCCCGGUUCAGAGAGUCGCCCACGAACGCCAGCUGCUUCCCGCGCAGCUUCUCCAGCAGCCUCACUUUUCGUUAAACUACACGCAUCCAUGCAUUAUGCAUGGAGAUGCAUGAGGGACGCAGGUUCGGUGCCUUAAAAGGCAUCUGCCUUUGGUUCACUGACAUGUGGACAAGUCACCUGUUAGGCCUGCAUGUCAUAGACACAAAGAUAGGUGCCUUAAGGCACUGAAGUAUCAUUCAUGCAUGAGCAGCUGAACAACCGGCAGACACAGUGUGACUUGUAUUGUACUCCCUUUGUUCGAAAUUACUUGUUACGAAAAUUGAUGUAUCUAUACGUAUUUUAAUUGUAGAUACAUCAAUUUUUAUUCACUUUUAAGACAAAUAAUCUGAAAUGGAGAAAGUACACACGUGCAGACACGCUACACUUACUUCACUUCACUAUGUGUGGGUAUGGCACGUACGUACCUAGGAAGGUCGCAACCGUGCGGCUGCCACCGCCAGUGCUGGUACCGGAGGUCCGUCCUGCCGUACCUCCCGCACGCCAGGUUCUCCGACAUGAACCGGCAAGCGCUCUCCUUGUACAGAGCGUACGCCUCCUCGUCGUACACCCACCGGCCGGAGGACAUGUCGCACUCGUCCACACCCCGACCACCGCCGGCGGCAACAGUGAUGGGUGGCGGAGGCAUGCUCGGUGGGGGUGAUGCCGCUGCUCUUGGCCGUCGUCGUGACCGAGAUUGUGGCCGUAGGAGGCGAAUGCAUCGUCGGCGUUUUCAGGGGCAAAGCCAGGAUUUGAGCAUAGAGAAGACGGAGACUGAUUCGGCGAUAAGAAAAAAAACCAGAACAUAGUAAAGCUAUCGAGUGAUUUUGAUUGAUACCUGAAUAUGCUUCUCGUUGUUUGCUCGAACCAAUCCCUUCAAAAAUGAAUGUACUGAUUCUUCUGAUCAUGACUAUGCACAAACACAAGCACAGUCGAUGAUUUUUUUUAAUCCAAAUGACAGAAUCAGUGUAUUAUAUCUAUUUUUUAUAUCAAUUUGUGAGGAUAAAACAGGAGAUUGCUGCAUCUAACUAAUUCCAUCUAAAUCAAAAAUCGGUGUAAUCUUAAUCCUAAUGCGGAUUGGUAUUGUCAGAUCGAACAAACUAAUGAAGAGGGACUCACCACAAAUUUUCUUGCGCAUCGUCGUGGUCAUCGGGCGCAGCGUGACAGUUUCCACCAUCGGUGGUGAUCGCCUGUGACCUGUAAGGUGCGGCGCCGCCUACCUUUUGCCAACCGACGAACUGCCCUAGACGGCUGCGAGUCAUGCGUGGUGCGUCCUGGGCGACUAGGCGGCUGUUUGUCUUUACUUCUAAUGGAGUAGUUGAUAGCCUCGUACGGUUUAUUUUCGUCCCACCACUUUCAACAGUUUUAUUUCGUCGGAUUUUUUUCGUCUCCUCUCCCACCCCACCGAUUUAGUUUCGCGUUACCCUCACAUACAAUGAAAAAAAUCUGAACGGAUCAGAACUUUUCAUUCUGACGCAAUUUAUUGAGGAAUGUCUUUAUGUGAAAGAAUCAAUCACGAUCAAUCUCUAAAGAUCAAAUCUAAAUUAAUCAACCUUACAUUAAAUUGCUCAAUCACAUUAAUCUCUGCGCUUGGCAGUCCGUACGUUGUUUCUUUAGUUCGCUUCCACCACCUCCCUUCGUUUUUUUCUUGCAGCAAUCUCUACUCCCAAUGCACGAGUUGAUUGAAUAGUCCUAUCACUUUCGUCUGGGUUUUUUUUGUCUCAGCUUCCACCAUCCACCACCUCGCACUGGUUUAUUUCCGUCUCACCUCUCACCACUCCUCCUUCCAUUUUUAUCUCCGGUUACUAAACCCGCCAACUGAUUUUUCUUCCUAUCCCACCGAUCUUCUCUCAUUGUUUCCAUUCUGUUCCGGAUCUCCUUCCCCUAAUCCUUUCCAAUCACUCCCAAGUCAGAAUUUUCUUCCAAAUCUGACCAUACCUAUCUUCUUUCCAUUCCAUUUCCGAUCUCCUUCCCUCAAUCUUUUCCAAUCAUUCCCAAUUCAGUUUUUUCUUCCAAAUCCGAUCACACCCGAUCUAGAUCUCGAGGGUUGCCUCCCGUUCAUCCCAGCACGUCCCUUGUACCAGCCAUGGAAGAGAGGAGGGAGAGAAGAUGGGAGCACGGUGGCCUCUGGGCCGUCUUGGCCCUAGCGGGAAGGCAUUAGGAGGAGCCCGGGAAUGGGCGAUAUGGCGAAGGUCGUGGCCAUCGUGGUCGCGGCCGUCGUGCUCGUGGCGUGCGUGUUCCUGGCCAUUUGGAAGUACCGAUGGCAGGCCAGCACCGUUGCACGCACACGGACACGGUCACUCGAGUCAUCCACGGCUACGCCGCAGGCCAACGGCUCCGCGAGCCUUAAUCCAGUAUCUCUGUCUUCGUGGUCUUCGAGAGCGUCUCCGACUGGGGCAACAACCUACUGCCGGCGGGGAAGCAAAUCGCCUUCUGGGGCGGGCGGGGCAACAACGGCAGGGACCAGCCCAUGUCCGUCUUUGGGAUCCCGAAGUACCAUUACAAGUAUGGCAACUACUCCUCCGUUGCAAUCUUGGUUGCAGUAUUAAGAUCACAUGAUCAGUGAAUUGUAAAGUUGAAAUAUAUCAGCUUGACUGUCUAAUGCAUUUGAUCCAAUUAAGGAUAGUACGUUCAUGGCAGCUCUAGAAAUGCAUGCGUGCAACUUAUACCAUGAUCUUAUUGUGAAUGUUAGUGUUGGUGAGAGUAGCCAGAAGCAAAGUAACAUCUUUCUGAUUGCUCCAUGUUACUGUGUCGGUUGUUCAGGGAUCUGCAGAAGGCUACCAAAAACUUCACAACGAUUCUGGGCCAUGGAUCAUUUGGUCUUGUGUACAAGACUGUAAUGGCUACAGGUGAAGUCAUGGCUGAAAAGGUUCUUGCGACGCCGCUGCUACUUGGUGCCCGCCACACCCCAAGGUAUCGGUUGCCGUCCCUGUUCUCCCGGUGGCCCUCUCGUCAGGCGCUCACUUGGUCGAGAGUUUGUCACAGCCGCCGAGGAACAGGUCAGUGAACUCUAUUUACUUUUUAUGGUCUCACCUUAGCUAUUUGAUUCCUUUCAAUUGUGUGUCGCAUAUGUGCAGUCUAAUUUAGAAUUUUAAAAUUCUCUACUUCUAAUGUCUGAGUUGGUUGAAUAGUACGAUUUAUUUUCGUCCCACCACUUUCAACCGUUUUAUUUUGCUGGGUUUUUUUUCCGUCUACAUUCCCACCAACCCUUGGUUUAUUUUUGCGUCAUCCCCCACACAAAAAAAAAAAUCUGAGGCCUCUUUUGGUUCAUAAGAUAGGAUUAUCGUAGGAAUAGGAAUCUUGUAGAACGGAUCAGAACCUUCCAUGUUGACUCGAGUUAUUUAGUAAUGUCUUUAUGUGAAAGAAUCAAUCACGAUCAAUCUUAAAGAUUAAAUCUAAAUUAAUUAUCCUUACCAUAAAUCGCUCAAUCACAAUAAUUAAUCAAAAUUACAUUAGUUUUUAGGGCAAUAUCUCACACCUCGAUCUUUUUGUACAUCGAAUCGCAAGGACGACGCGGCCCUCGGAGCCCUUCGCCACCGCCGGUGUCCGAGAGGACCUGCCGCCGUCUUCCCCACCAAGAUCUCCACCCUCUCCCCCGCCAGCGUCAUCCACUCACGUUCUUUCCUUAAAGCGGGGAGGCCCCAGAUCGAGUUGAGCAAGUCAGGGGCCGCCGCCGACGCGGAUCCCCACGAACGAGCCAGCCAUCGCCGCUGCGGUUCCCCACGAACGAGCCAGCCAUCGCCGCCUCGGAUCCCCACGGACGCCGCCGCGGAUCACCACCGUAGCCCUCUCCUUCUCCCCCUCCGUUCGUGCCUCCUACCUCUUCCUCCAAUCUCCAGGUAAAUCCUGAUCCGCGAGUUCCUGGUUUUGAACAUAUGGUGUGUGUUGCUGUACUGCAGGUCCUUUGGGGAGAAGAGCUUCUGCGGUAGGUCGUUGUCGGCGGCGGUAUCACACCUCUCACUCGUCUUCUAUCAGAUUGUGCCAGACCAACCAUCAAGUUAUUUUCACCUGGCAACAUGUGCUCGUGAUGCCAUUUGAAUUUUCGAGCAAGUCUCGGUCUUUCCUGGUCCGGCUAUCCAGGCGACAAAUGCCAACUUGGUAGCAGUUAUCGAGCAUGGCUAAGAAGAAGGUAAUUCAUAUAUGCAUGGUGCAGAUUUGUAAACUCUAAUAUCCUCAUACUUUCUCUCUGUUUUUUCAGUGGGUAGGGGUUGGUGCGACUAAGGCCCCGUUCGUAAUCUCUCUGCUCCUCCACUCCGCGGAGUUGGUGGAGCUCGGUCUUCGCAGCUCCAUUAAAGUGAGGUCCGCUCCGGGAGCAGAGUUAAGAGAGCGGAGAGGAACCGAACGCUUCCUAACUGUACUUGCUUCCUAGAGAACAACUAUCACAAAUCACAUGCAAGUUCAGUCGUCGUGAGCUAUAGUAUUCGACAAAAAUGUACAUGGCAUUGAGCUAUAAUAUUUAUUUCGUUUUCAUUCUUAUAAUAUAAAGUUCAGUGUUACUUCCAUUCUGUUUCAUGGUAAUGAUGUGUUGGGUAUGUUUCAGUUAGUGGAGGAAUCUGAGAACACACAGAGAUUUAACUUACCCUGUUAAAUGCUUAAAAUGCAUGUCCGUUCUGUUGGAUGCAUGUUUGCGUGUAUAUAUAAAUAAAUAUGAUUCUCACCACCCUUCAUCCUAAUUCGUAAAUGCAAAUACUUGACUAAUGCUGGAUCUUGCACAGCCAACUUUACACUUUCAUCACAAAGGUGAGAAGGCUAGCGAAGUGGUCCGUGCCAACAUGAAGAAACUUGAAGAUGCCAUUCAUGGAAAUUCUACACAACUAAGAUCUUUUUUCAUCUUUUUUCAUACACUGAUGGUACACUUCUGUUUCAAUGAUCUUGCCUGCUGCAAAUUAACAAGAAUAUACAAGCAUGGUCAAGAUAAUCUGAAUCUUGUAGGCUUGUAGCUAAACUAGCUGCUGAAAGGCACGAGUGAUGUGUACUAAAGGAUUCACAGACCAUGUCUACUUUUUGUGAUUAAUAAUAGUACCAUAUGUUGGAAAAUAUUAGUUAUUAGGGAUGAACACCAAACUGUUGUAGGGAAAAUCUGUAACAUCUAACCACCUUUUUUUAUGGACACAUGACACCUAUUUCAAUUGGUCUUCUUUUAAGCGUCAUAAAUUCUUCAAGUUUGCUAACCAUGAGACCAUUAUCGGUUGUGAUAAUUAUAUGAAUCUUGGAGAUAAUAGGUUUUGUAUAUUAUUUAUUUCACAGUCAUCGACGACUACAAUGAGGAGCACAAUAGCAGCAAGUCAGUACCAGCGAGCAGGGAGGAGGGCAACCAGCUUCAAAGCAGACUUCAUCCAGAGAAAGGCACUUAUUCACCCUUAUUUUGUAGUACUUAUCCUUUUUAUAGUUUCAGACGAAAUUUUUAUUAUCGAUAAUUAAUAUUUCGGUAAUUCUGAAACUAAUAAACAUUAAUGAGAAAUUUGAAAAAUAGGAAGGACACUAGGAAUAAUAGCGUCCAAGGCUGGGCGUCAGUACCAACAAUGUCCAAGGCUGGACGCUCUUAUAAACAGCGUCGUGUUUGGUUUGACCAGACCCCGCCUGGCUACCUUCGGCCUUUGACUUGUACCCUCAGCCACCUCCACAGGACUAAAGCUAGACUCCGUCACCUCUAGCCCGUCGAAAAUGGCGCUUUAACAUUAUUGUGUUUGAUAGUAUGAUGUGUGUUAGCUGAUUGUCAAAAAAAAUGUGUUAGAUGAGACAACAUUGUUAUCAGUUAUGUUAGCUUGACGAGUACCAUCUAAUUUUUUCAAAAGCCCAUGGCAACGCACGCGUAUUUUACCAUCUAAAUUUUUUCAAAAGCUCGUGGCAACGCACGGGCGUUCUACUAGUUUUCAAUAGCGGGUUGGCGAACUAGUAUGAUGGUAAGCUGAAUUAUUGGGCUUCAAAAAAACCAACUCCUUUGAUUCUUUACGUCGCUGGGCUCGCUACAGGCCUUGAACGCCCAGAAUAGGAGGGGGGGGGGGAGGCGAAUUAUGCCUAAGGCUGGUCAUAAUGGGAAGUAACUUAUACUAGUGUCAUCUCUAUAGUGUGAAGUAACAUAGUAGUAGUAUCAUAGAUGACUUUAUUUAUUAUCUUGUAGACUCAUCCUUUCUCGGAAAGUGCUAUGUUACAGUAAAUAUUAUGUUACUUUAAACACCUCUCUUCUCAUUAACUAUAUGCCACAUAAGUAAAAAAAAUUGACUAUGCUAUGUUACUAUCUAAGUUACUCCCACUAUGACUAGCCUAAAGAGCAAAAUCUAAUCAANNNNNNNNNNNNNNNNNNNNNNNNNNNNNNNNNNNNNNNNNNNNNNNNNNNNNNNNNNNNNNNNNNNNNNNNNNNNNNNNNNNNNNNNNNNNNNNNNNNNNNNNNNNNNNNNNNNNNNNNNNNNNNNNNNNNNNNNNNNNNNNNNNNNNNNNNNNNNNNNNNNNNNNNNNNNNNNNNNNNNNNNNNNNNNNNNNNNNNNNNNNNNNNNNNNNNNNNNNNNNNNNNNNNNNNNNNNNNNNNNNNNNNNNNNNNUAAGCCUAAUUACUAAUGUACGAUGCAAACCUGGGGGGGGGGGGGGUGCUGGCCCUGCUCGUCCCUCCUUAGGCCAACUCCAGCGCGCGACCCCAUCCCGCCCGGCCCCAUUCGUUUGGGGUAAAUGGGACAAACCAGACGACCCAGCGUACGACGGCCUGAACUCAACUGGUCCGUUUUGUGUCUAUGCCGACACAUUUCGAGCGCAAACUUGCGCCGGGUUUGGGUCCUGGCGGACAGCAAACGGACGCGUCGCUCGUCCGCUUCGGGGUCGCGUGGGAGGAGGCCACCUACCUCCCACCGCCCGACAUUAAUGCUCACGCGCGGUCAGCCUCACUUGUCAUCCGCUCAGGCGAACGGUCGCCGUCCUUCUUAAAUGGGGAAGCCGUGGACCGGUCGUCGUCCACACUCCCCACUCCAGCCCGUUGCCUCCUCUAAACCCGACAUGCCUCAAACCCUAGCCUCUCCCCGUCAUCGAACUCGCCAACUGAUCCUUGAUCCAGCUCCUCGCCUUGCCGACAUGAACUCGUACACAGUCCUCGGAUCCUGGAUGGGAACACUUGCACCUAUCCACCACUUCUUUCCUCAUCUUCCCUGAGUCAUCACUAGCUGAGGUAUCUAUGUUGAGGCGACAGACAGUUGUGCCCAGUUUUGCUAAGGUUGCAGCUUUGUAAUCAUCAGUGUCCACAGGGUCUGUUCUAACACGUUUCUGUGCAUAACUUGACAAGUUGCUGAUGUUAGGAGCUACUCCUUCCUGGGAACAAGCAGACUGAAUUAGACGCAGGUUCAAACAACAGUGGAUACAAGAACUCAAACAAUGUGGAGACGAUCUGAAAUCAAUUUCACAAGAAACCUGAUACAAGAACUCGUCUCAAUUUUGCAAGAAAUUGGGAUAAUAUCGCCUCGCACAAAUCCUAAUACCACCAAUUUCGCACAAAUCCUGAUAUCCGCAAGAACUCGGAAGAAUUCGCAUCUAGGACUGAGACUCGAGAGUCGGAGCGUACCUGGCGCAACCCUGCGAUCGCCUUCCGCGUUGGCUCGAUCUCCGCGCGGCUGCGCCCCCGCGUCGCCAUGGCCACCACCCGGGCCAGCCAGACCGCCGCGUCGGCCUCGGCCAUGCCAUUCCGCGUGCCCGCGUCUUCCAAGUUCCAACGCACGCCGUGUCAGCGGCGCCGCACGGCGUCUCGGAGCCAACGGGAGGAGGCCUCCGCCCUUAGGGCUUGCCCCACCGCCGCCUCCGCCGCUGCUUGUUCCUCCCGCUCGUCCGCCACCACCUCCGCCCCGCCUCUUCCGAACCUCCGUGGCCAUGAUCUUAGGAGCUGCUCCUUCCUGUAACAAGCAAUGUGGAGACGAUUUCAGCUCCUUCCUUAGUUUUAGCAGCACAACAACCUUCAUAUCUUGCCCAAAGCUUCUGAAGAGCUUUUUUAGUACUAGCUUCGGGAUACUCCAUGUCAACCCAUUGAACAUAGCCACAAUUGUCAAUAUGCAAGAAAAAUGAGUUACUUAACCAUAAGCAACUACAAAUGGUACACCAGAGUAACAUAAUCCUUUUCAUAACAAAAUUCAUUAUUUAACUAUGUUUGUCUCUAGCUCCUACUAAAUAGAAAACCUUCAGAUAAAUAGAGCAGUUAAGCUUCAGAGAAACAGAGCAGUUAAGCUAUAGAGAAACACAACAAUUAAGCUUCAGAGAAGCAUAGCAGAUAAUUUGUCUUUAACUAUGUUUGUGGAAGUAAACUUUCAACACAUAGGUUCUCAAAUAAGGAGAUUAAGGACAUAUAAAUCUCAGCCUAGCUCCUUUUUCAAACCAGUGUGACCAUUAACCAUUACAAUGGUACAACAGAGAUAACUGAAUUAAUAGAAAAUAAAAACAUUCAGAGAAACAGAGCAGUUAACAUGGGAUUUCAAAUAAGCAAAGCAGGACAUGCAUUGCAACUUACUUCUUCACCACAUCCAUAAAUUUCCUGGCUAUUUUCCGAUGGUAGCACUCAACUGGGCCCUCCUCUGACACCACUUCGCCUUCAAAGUCGGAGUAGUCUAUGGUUAGGAGCGGCUGGAUCAAGUUCAAAAGGAAUUUGGAGUGGUCAAAUGCACUUGACCCGGUCCAAAUCAUACCAAAAAGAAAAUCCCCAGUCUGAACUCUCUAAAUCUAUUAAGAUACUAAACUCUCUAAAUUUUGAGCCUCCUGGUGUGUCGAGGAGUGGGGGGCGCUACGGGCCUGCUUGUAAGAGUUUGUGUCGUUGGCCGAUCGGUUUUUCUGGUAUUGAGAAAGUAUUGUCUAGUUUUAUUUUCUUUUUUUUGUGUGUGUUUUCACCAUUUUUAAUAGUUUUUCUUUUGGGUUUUCUAGCCUUUUCCUUUUUCUGGUUGGUUUUUUCCUUUUGCUCUUUUCCUAAUUUUUUAUUUCACUUCUUCACAUUUUAAUUCAUGAAUAUUUAUGAUUCUAAAGUUGAUGAACAUUAUUAAGGUCUGUGAACAUUUUAAAAUUUGCUAAUAUUGUUCUGAAUUUGUGAAUAUCGUUCAAAUUCAUGAUUUUAAAAGCAAUCGUGUUUUUUAAUUUGCAAUCUUUUAAACUUAUUAUUUUUAAUUAUGUGUAUUUAUUUGAUUUAAUGAACUUAUUCAAAUAAAAAAUAUGAUAGCCAACCUUUUCUAACCAAGCAGUGGAGCGAGAAAAGAAAAACUAAGCGGGGGAGUGGAGCAUGCCGAGCUGGCCGAGCGUGAGGUUCAUGGGCUGGCCCAUGUGAGUGUCAUAAUAGUAAUUUUAUGGUGUCAACGUUUAAUAAGAGCUUUCAGGGGGCUCAUACAACCACCACCGGCUGACAUUAAAACCAAAAUGUUUAAGAACACCACAACCACACAUCUAACAACUCCACUCUUUUCUUAGAAGGAAUAUCAUGUCCAAUGUAGUCCAACACAAUAUAAAAUAGAAAAAAACAUUGUCAGAAAAUAAUUUAACCUAAGCCAAUGCAAAUAAAACAAGAAAGAACAAACUGACCAUAAUGACCAGUUAGAAAAAAAGUUAAUUCCUCGCAAACUAAAAUAAAUAAAUAAAGUUAAUCCCACAACUGCUUCGUGUUGCGAAGCGCGCCUUAACAUCUAGUGCUAGUAAACUAUACACGAUUGAUCAGUCAGCUUGAUUGAUACGAUAUCUUAUUAUGGGGGAAGUUGAUUCGUUGUACUACCAUGAUUGAAAAUGAAUAAAUCAAAAGUUUUCUCGCAAAAAAACUUAUUCCUUUUCAUAAAUUUUCUUGAAAACAAAAAAUGAUUUGUAAUCUUUUUUUAGUCUGAAAAUGAUUCGUAAUGGUAACGGCCUGAAACGUGGGGUCCAUAGUACUUUGGGCCGGUGAGUAGCCGAUGCCGCUUGGGCCGUUUAUGCAGGAACCUGGUUGCUCUCGGCCCUGGUCAUAGCCGGAGUUACAGACCCAGCUACCUUGGAAGCAAUAGCAUGUAGAGAAGGACUUGCUUUGGCAAAUGAUCUUCUUGUGGGGAACUUAAUCAUCGCUACGGACUACAAGCAGGUUGUCGAUGACAUCAAGAAUGGCAAUCAGGGAUCAUAUGGGUCGGUGAUAACAGAAAUCAAGAUGCGUUCUUUGAGUUCUAUUUGUAAUUUUGUUUUUGAAAGCCGUUCUUCAACGGUGAAGUUCAUAGUUUAGCUAAGCAUGCACUUCCUCUCAGUGCGGGAUGUCAUAUGUGGUUGGCUAACCCCCAUAAUCCGAACUGUAUCCCACUCCAUGUGGAUUAUGAUCAAUAAAGCUUAGCUUUGUCCUCAAAAAAAUAACUUGCCUGCCUGUUUGAGACACCGGGACACGAGAGACCUUCCUUCCCUCAAAAAAGAUAAAAAAGGCACGAGAGACCUUCCUUCCUCCUUUGCUCCUCUUGCAAACGACCGGCUGUGCUAGGGUUCCUGAUCCUGCCGACGACUUCUCCAGUACUGCUACACCACCCCGCUCCACACCCCUCCACCAGAAUUAGGUGAGAACUUCAAGAAACCCUAAGUUGUCUGGGUAUCGGUUUUUUUCUUUCUAGAAUACUCUGGGUACGGUUUUUCACAUCUGAUUUCAGUAAUUAUUUCAGUUAUCUUAUUAGUAUUUGAGAUUUCUCUAGUUUCCGAUUACUAUCAAGGUUUCUCUAGUACUAUGACAUUUACGAUUUUAGGUUGAUUUAUGCUUUUCAUCUUUAAUCAAUUCAGUUUUUCUUUUCCUGAACUUAACAUCCUGUUAAUAUGUACUGUAGUUCCUAAAUAUUUCAUCAGACGCUCUAAUGCUAGGUAUAGGAUGCCUCGAGUUGGAGACCCAGAAGCAUCCUCCUUCUUAAGGCUCUUGGCGGAGUUCAGCUACCUUUCCUCCAUCAUUCUGGAACGAUGGAUUAAUUUGAAGAACGUGUCUAUCGGACGGCCUUUCUUAUCUUUUCCUAAUUUUUUAUUUCACUUUUUCACAUUUUAAUUCAUGAAUAUUUAUGAUUCUAAAGUUGAUGAACAUUAUUAAGGUCUGUGAACAUUUUAAAAUUUGCUAAUAUUGUUCUGAAUUUGUGAAUAUCGUUCAAAUUCAUGAUUUUAAAAGCAAUCGUGUUUUUUAAUUUGCAAUCUUUUAAACUUAUUAUUUUUAAUUAUGUGUAUUUAUUUGAUUUAAUGAACUUAUUCAAAUAAAAAGUAUGAUAGCCAACCUUUUCUAACCAAGCAGUGGAGCGAGAAAAGAAAAACUAAGCGGGGGAGUGGAGCAUGCCGAGCUGGCCGAGCGUGAGGUUCAUGGGCUGGCCCAUGUGAGUGUCAUAAUAGUAAUUUUAUGGUGUCAACGUUUAAUAAGAGCUUUCAGGGGGCUCAUACAACCACCACCGGCUGACACUAAAACCAAAAUGUUUAAGAACACCACAACCACACAUCUAACAACUUCACUCUUUUCUUAGAAGGAAUAUCAUGUCCAAUGUAGUCCAAUACAAUAUAAAAUAGAAAAAAACAUUGUCAGAAAAUAAUUUAACCUAAGCCAAUGCAAAUAAAACAAGAAAGAACAAACUGACCAUAAUGACCAGUUAGAAAAAAAGUUAAUUCCUCGCAAACUAAAAUAAAUAAAUAAAGUUAAUCCCACAACUGCUUCGUGUUGCGAAGCGCGCCUUAACAUCUAGUGCUAGUAAACUAUACACGAUUGAUCAGUCAGCUUGAUUGAUACGAUGUCUUAUUAUGGGGGAAGUUGAUUCGUUGUACUACCAUGAUUGAAAAUGAAUAAAUCAAAAGUUUUCUCGCAAAAAAACUUAUUCCUUUUCAUAAAUUUUCUUGAAAACAAAAAAUGAUUUGUAAUCUUUUUUUAGUCUGAAAAUGAUUCGUAAUGGUAACGGCCUGAAACGUGGGGUUCAUAGUACUUUGGGCCGGUGAGUAGCCGAUGCCGCUUGGGCCGUUUAUGCAGGAACCUGGUUGCUCUCGGCCCUGGUCAUAGCCGGAGUUACAGACCCAGCUACCUUGGAAGCAAUAGCAUGUAGAGAAGGACUUGCUUUGGCAAAUGAUCUUCUUGUGGGGAACUUAAUCAUCGCUACGGACUACAAGCAGGUUGUCGAUGACAUCAAGAAUGGCAAUCAGGGAUCAUAUGGGUCGGUGAUAACAGAAAUCAAGAUGCGUUCUUUGAGUUCUAUUUGUAAUUUUGUUUUUGAAAGCCGUUCUUCAACGGUGAAGUUCAUAGUUUAGCUAAGCAUGCACUUCCUCUCAGUGCGGGAUGUCAUAUGUGGUUGGCUAACCCUCAUAAUCCGAACUGUAUCCCACUCCAUGUGGAUUAUGAUCAAUAAAGCUUAGCUUUGUCCUCAAAAAAAUAACUUGCCUGCCUGUUUGAGACACCGGGACACGAGAGACCUUCCUUCCCUCAAAAAAGAUAAAAAAGGCACGAGAGACCUUCCUUCCUCCUUUGCUCCUCUUGCAAACGACCGGCUGUGCUAGGGUUCCUGAUCCUGCCGACGACUUCUCCAGUACUGCUACACCACCCCGCUCCACACCCCUCCACCAGAAUUAGGUGAGAACUUCAAGAAACCCUAAGUUGUCUGGGUAUUGGUUUUUUUCUUUCUAGAAUACUCUGGGUACGGUUUUUCACAUCUGAUUUCAGUAAUUAUUUCAGUUAUCUUAUUAGUAUUUGAGAUUUCUCUAGUUUCCGAUUACUAUCAAGGUUUCUCUAGUACUAUGACAUUUACGAUUUUACGUUGAUUUAUGCUUUUCAUCUUUAAUCAAUUCAGUUUUUCUUUUCCUGAACUUAACAUCCUGUUAAUAUGUACUGUAGUUCCUAAAUAUUUCAUCAGACGCUCUAAUGCUAGGUAUAGGAUGCCUCGAGUUGGAGACCCAGAAGCAUCCUCCUUCUUAAGGCUCUUGGCGGAGUUCAGCUACCUUUCCUCCAUCAUUCUGGAACGAUGGAUUAAUUUGAAGAACGUGUCUAUCGGACGGCCUUUCUUAAUAUACAACACUGUAUGGUUGGUUCUUCACAAAAUAGACUCGCCCUAUGCACGGCCCUGGAUACUUUUUUAAUACUCCACCCUUUUAGCUUUACAAAGGCACCUGAACCCGAUGGGUGCCAUGUUGACUUAGUGGAGGGACUUUGUGAAAACAAACAACCCUCGGAACUGUAGAUUUGUGAAAAUUGUACCAAUGAGAGUGAGUGGAGUGGGUGGUUGUGUGAAACAUGAGUUUAAAAUUGUGGUUCUAUGAGAAAUUAUUUCAAUGAAAAUUGGCUUUCUGUUAUGUCAGGCAAAAGUGUCUCCCUUUGAAAUUUUAUGUCAUUUAAGGGUAUGGUUAUGUGCUAUGUAUCAUUAAAUGCGUGUGCAUUUAUGUCAAAUAAUUUGCAUAUGCAGGUUUUAAACGACGGAGCUGAUAUUUUUGUCUCUCCAGCCAGUUGGCCACCCGCUUGUAUGUUGCUCCGAGAAUUCUUUCAUUUGAUCAAACAAUGCAGCAGCAAUCCUUGAAACUUGAGAAUCUGCGUCACUUUUGUUUUGUUAGCCCACAGACCACAGCUCUGUUCUGGACACAUGGCUACUUUGACCUCCAGGCACCUCCAUUCUCACCAGCAUGAUUUAAACUUUUUGAAGCAUUUCCUUGGGAAGGUUUCCUAGUACUCUUGCAGAAACCAUAGAGAUUCAAGCAAAAGAGACCGAUGAAUUGAUUUCUGUUAGAUACUUGUCUGGUAUGCAAGAAACCUUUGAUAUCAUGAUGAAGUAUAUUCCUGGCAUGGCAAGUAUGCAACCCUUUCGUAAGCUGCUCUGUAUAAAUUAAAAGUGAAGAAUGUUAGAGAAAUAUGAAUAGAUCUUUUUAAUCAAGAUAAUUUUGUAGCGAGCAAACUAAGUGAUAGGUUGCAUUGGUGUUUUUCCCCCUGUGGUCUGUUAUGUUGGGUGUGCUCUGCUUUCAGGUGUUAAUUCUGUUUUAGAUGGACCCUUUGGUUCGUAUUAUUUCAAUUAUCAGUAAUAUUGCUCCUGUUUUGCACAAUGGCAAUUGGCACCGCUGCUUUAACUGCCACAAUUCCUGUUUUGCGCCUUGGCGAUUGGCUCUUUCUUUUCCAAUAUGUAUGCUUGAGCCCCUGUGCAACACCGUGUGUACUCUCUGUUUUCUUGUUGCAUGUACAUCGAUCUUUAGUUUUUGAUUCAGGCGAUAUCAGUCUAUAAAGUUUAAUGGUUUGUGUAUGACAGGAUGCAUGGCUCGUUUUAUGUUUGAGCAUUUGUUUGGUUUUGUACAGAGAUGCCAAUCGGUUUAGCUUCUUUUAGCCUGUGCUUAAUUUUCCCCAACUGUCAAUAUCCUGUCAGAGGGAUUUCUAUCAUCGGGGGCUGCACACUAUGAGAACCAUGUUUUUCUGGCUGUACUUUUUUGCUUUGGAGAUUUGUAAGGCAUCACCUUUUUGCAGUUUAUAUACAGUUCUAUAGUAUACUUUGUUGUUGGACCAUAAUAAAAUAUGUUAAAUUUGAUGACUCACAUCAAGAACCAUAGUCUCAUAAAGAGUUAUUUCUGUGUCUCGGCUAUCACUGCUAAACCAAAGUUUGUAAGGCCUGACCUUUUUUGCUUUUGCUUCUUAUACCAAACACAGUUUGUCUUGGUUCCGUUUGAAGUAAAAUUUGAAGCAUCUAAAGCAAGGCAAUAUAUCCAGUGAACUCUGGAUUUGGUUGAAAACCUAAAAACUUGCCUCCUAUGCCAUUAGAUCUACAACGAACGGCAUCCGAGGCAGUCAACUUGACUGCCUAGAAUUGCAGCUGAGGUAAGGAAAUGUUGAUUCUUGCCGUGUAACGGGCAGUCAACAGAUUUGUGACCCGGGGCUGAGCAAUUAAUGCAGAUUAAGCGAGCCUUGCAAGAAUUUUUGUCGUGACCCCAUUGGAGGCAGCGAGAGCAAAGGACCGCCCAAUUAAUGGAUAAUUCCUGUAUAUCUGCCAACGAGUAGUGGGCUUGGGCCAGAUCUGCCUUGUGACGGGCUGAUAGCACAGCNNNNNNNNNNNNNNNNNNNNNNNNNNNNNNNNNNNNNNNNNNNNNNNNNNNNNNNNNNNNNNNNNNNNNNNNNNNNNNNNNNNNNNNNNNNNNNNNNNNNNNNNNNNNNNNNNNNNNNNNNNNNNNNNNNNNNNNNNNNNNNNNNNNNNNNNNNNNNNNNNNNNNNNNNNNNNNNNNNNNNNNNNNNNNNGACGGAAGGAAACACUGUGGUAGCGGCAGAUAAGGGGUGGACAAAGAGCAAUUAAAGUCUCCCAAUUUAAUGUAGUCUAAUGGCCGACGCUCCUCUAAAUCUGCCUGGUGUAAGAAAUGCUCCAUUAAUGCCCAUGGGAGCAUAAAUAGUCUGAUAUUGAUAUUCUUUACUCUAGAAACACCUAACAAAUUAUUUGCUAGAUUCAUACACUCUAGAACAGCCUAUCAAGUUUCAUAGAUAUUUAAGUCUAUUAUGGAAAAUGAUACAUACACAUACAUAGCGAGAUAAUAUUAGUUUCUUAAGAUUUAGAGUAAAAUCCGUUGAAAAAUGACAGUGUUCUAAACACCCAAAACUAGAAAAUGGGCAAAAUACCAUCUCAGCUUGGCAGACAAAUUUGUAUUUUGUUUGUAUGUAUAAGAAUUUCAUGAAAAAUAUGUACAUUAGUAUAGAUAAGUCUAUUUACAAUUUUAACUCGACUAAUUAUACCAAAAACAUGAUAUUCCAAAUAUUAAAAUUGAAUAACUUCAGUCAAUAAAAAUAAUAUACACCUUUCAUGACAAGAUGAGUUAACAUGAAGUACAAAAGUUUAGUAUAAAUAAGCGAGUCGCACAAGAAACCAGUGCACCGUAGGUAGGCAGAAAGAUAUCACAAGGUAGCAAACACCAUAUAGAAAAAAGAGAAACAGGCCCACGAAAUUUUUAUUCUAUGAAUCGUCUUAUUAUUUAACCGGCGGAUUAAUGCCUCGCAUAUUGGUCGUUCGAGCAUUAAGUGAACCCUAAUUCGAAGAAAUUUUAAACUUAGUUUCGCUUGAUUAUAAUGAGGCUACACGAUCCAAAACAUCGAAAAGAGAAAAGGUGUUUACUUAUUUACUAGUUGAUAUAAAUGGCAAAAAUGCAAAUUAAUUAUGCAAUUAUGAUGCUCAUGUAAUGUUGAUGAUUUCAUGAUGGUGCGAAAAUAAAAUAACAAACAAUUUCUUAUUUGGAAAAAACCCAAGGCAGUUGCACGGUAGCUCAAUCCCGGCAAUGCAAUGCUCAUGACGGUGCUAACAUGUCGCUCAUAAGAGAGGGAAACGACCGGCAACAUUUUUAUUUUGUAAAUCGUCUUAUUAUUUAACUGACGGUUAUAAUGCCUGGCAUAUUUUAUUUAUCGGUCGUCAAACGAACUCUGGUUCAGACAAUAGUUUAAAGGUUGUCUCGCUAGAUUAUAAUAAGGCCACCCGAUUCAUCCCAAGUCAAAUCAGAGACCAUUUGAAAUUGAUUUAGGAAAUAUCUCCAUUUACUAAAUAAACAGAGGGUUUGCAUUACGGGUGAUAGCUCGGCUAGCUCGUUGUGACAAAAACCGGGUUACUGCCAAACAUCACAACAAGGUCGAGUUAGUCUGGUGGUCAGUCUCAAUCCAGAACAUAGAAAAGAGAAAGCGGUUUACUUAUUCAUCAUUUGACAAAAUGGCAAAAAAUCCAUAUUAAUUGUUAGGAUGCUCAUGUAAUCGGGUCACUGCCAAACAUCAUUAUGAUGCUCAUGAAAUGUGGAUGAUGUCAUAAUGAUGCAAAAAAUUGCAAACAAUUUCUUGUUUGGGGAAAACCCAGGGUUGUUACACGGGAGCUCGAGCUCUCUGUCGUCCCCUGUCACCGGACAACACAAUGCGUAUGACGGCGCCAACCUGUCAUGCUCCGCACGCUCUGCGUAGGUGUAGAUCCGCCACUUGUCACGCCCCUCUCCCACCCCUCUGACCUCGCACCGAAGGUGCGCGCUCCACGCCGCAAGAGAUAGCGAGUGAAUGAGAGGGUGGUGGCGGUGAAGGCAAGUUCCUCCCACAGAUCCCGCGUGUCUGCGACCGCGCCGCUCGUCGAUCCGGAUAAGCGGCUCUUGCACGUGGUGUUGCAUUCGCCGAUGUCCACAACAGAGACAGACACGAGGUGCCCGCAGUGCAAGAACACGAAUGCACUCCAAGUCAGCACCGAGCAGUCUGAGUGCCUCGCGACGGAGAGGGUGCCUGUCGACGCGUAAGUGGCUCGGCUCACGAAGGAGCAGGCGAGCGCUGCCCAUCGUCUCACUGACAAACAUCUCGUCCUCGCUCGGCGGGGCACGAUGAGCACCGACAAUGACACCCCUUCGGCCGCCGACGCCUACGCGGAGUACUACUACCACCACUCUCGUGGCCGCAAGGAGAAGGGACCGGCGAGGAAAUGAUGAUGUCCAACGCCCCCUCGGUUUAGCUAUGUUUAUCUAUGUAUCUAGAUUCGUGUGAUGAACUUUUGGGCCGGAAUGUACAAAACUGUAUGCCGAAUAAGUAUGGUCCGUGCUAUGUUUCUGUUGUCGGAAUGUUGAUAUGUUGAUCUACAUACUUUGCAUCAACUUGCAUCGCUAGUAUGGAUUUGGGGGCCAGAUGUAAGGGCCUAAGGGGGAUGGCUGUUGACAUGGAGACAUGAGGGGUGACCGGCGGAUGCGCCCGAACACGGGCAUUUAGGUUUAAGGAUUUGUGUGAAGUCCAUUUGUAGAUGUCCUUAACAAUAUUUUCUACCGUUGGAGGUUUUCAGCGUUUCCGUGGCCUGUACGUGCCAAGCAAGCCCAUGAAUCGCAUCCAACGUGUAAGGGGACAAGAUCCGGUGAGGAGAGCAGGGAACACACAUUUAAUCACAUUUUUUGCCAAAAAAGGGAACGAAUUAUAGCCAUGGCGUCCACACGACGCAGCACGCCGAUCGCAACGACACUGUACGAUGCAUGUUAAACGACGACGAUCGACGAGGCUGCGUCAGAGCGCCUGGUCGCUGGCGGGGAAGAAGAUCUUCCAGUAGAGCAGCUCGUUCCAGGCGUCGGGCACGCCGGGGAGGCACCAGUGGGUGCAGUCGGCGUAGCUCUUGGGGUCGGCGAGCUGCUCCUUGGUCGGCGGCGCCCACUGCUCCCGGUACACCUGCGUGUGCGCGUCCCGGCGGUACUCGGACAUCUGCGUGACAUUCACCACGCCCACCGGCACCCUCGCGGACGCGCCCAGCACCUCGCCGGUCACCCGCAGCAUCGCCUUGCUCGUGCUGCCCCAGUAGGACGCGUCGGCGAUGGGCUUGGUCUGGCCGUGGCAGUUGCUGCCCUCCGCCUCGUCGCCCCAGAGCUGGCCGCUGGCGUGCGUGGACGACGCCGUGACGAAGAAGACCCGGGACUUCUUGGGGUCCACGUUGCCGUCCAGCCAGCGCACCACCUGGUGCAGCACCAGCCUGUAGGCCUCCUCCGCCCCCAUCUCCACGAUGUCCUUGCUCAUGUCGUUGUCGGCGCCCCUCCUGCGACCAACCAUGCAUACAGAAGAAGAUCAGAGCUUCGUUCCGAUCAUCAAAGUGAUCUUGAUCAUGGUUGAUGUGGAGAUGUUUGCUCGGCGGCUUACAGAAUCUGGAUCUUGUCUCCGGUCAUCCACCAGAGGUAGGAGUUGAAGACGAGGACGUCGGCGCCCUUCCAGAAGCGGGAGUGGCGGUCCAUGGGGGCGCCGCGGAUGACGCGGUCGUUGAGCUGGUGCUCGACGCCGUCGUCGGCGUUGGACUCGGCGAGGAGCGGCGCCCAGUAGAACUCGAUGGUGGCGUCGUAGGCCUUGGCCCUGAAGAUGCUGAGGGCGUCGACGGUCUCGAAGGAGCUUGAGCCCUCGGGCAUGGCGCGGUGGAGGAGGCAGAGCAGCGACACGUACUGCGCCCGGUUCAGCGCGUCGCCCACGAACAGCAUCCGCUUCCCGCGCAGCAUCUCCAGCAUCACCGUCGCGUUGAAGCUGCAGCACGAGAAUAUUUUCUUCUUCUUAGAACAUCACUUUUACGUUGAUAAAAUCAGAAUAUGAACUGAGAUGAACCACAAACAAAUCAACCAACAACACGUAACAUGUCGCUCCGAAUCUCUGAACCAACCCCAAGUGAUUUUCAUGCAAGUCUUUUAGGGGGAAUGUUUGCCAAUUUACCGUGAAAGAAUGUCCACUCAAAAGUCUAAUUAUUCAUCAAACUACUAGAUCGAUCAGCGUAGCGAGUGCAACAACUGCAGCUGAGUAUAGCUAGUUGACCUGUACCUCCCGUCCCACCCAACCCUGCCGCAUGAGCCAAAACAUUUUGGACAGCGAAUCACCGCUCAGCAUUUCCCCAAAAGACUGGCUGUGCAAUGAGCCAAUGAGACCUCAGAGCCAUGACAUGCACAAGACACUAUUGGGAUUUUGAAUCCACCAACGUUGAUGGACCUCGUUUCGUUUGUCUGCACGGCGUGCAUGUUUGGCAUCUGGACCGAAGCCAUGCACAGCCACCAAGGCGUGCCCCUGGCUUGCCACAGUUUUGGGGUAGAGCAAAAGUGCGGAAUCCGCAGCAGUUUGGCAGCAAUUUUUGUUAAUUUGCUCUGUUAAAAUUGCGGCUAGAACGCAGGCACGUCCCCGACAAUCGGUAGUGCUAGCUCCUGCAUCACGUGAGCACAUAUAGACACACACAAGGAUCAUAACUAACCUCUUCACGAUAAUCACCCAGCAGCAGUACCUCCUCGCCGUUCAUUACUAGCAGUACAGUGCUAUAACGGCUUUGAAGUUUUGAAUCUUUGAGCUCUACUGCUGAGUAACUUGUGUUGGUAGGACGAGAACAGAGAGAGAGAGAGAGAGAGAGAGAGAGAGAGAGAGAGAGAGAGAGAGAGAGAGAGAGGGGAUGGCGCCUCACCUACCCUGCGCUGUAGCGCUGUCCUUCCACGGCGCAAAGGCCCUACCGUGCCUCCGCAUUAUUGGCUUAGCUAGAGCUGGAGCUCACGAAAUUACCACAUCGGUCGAGCUGUUCCCGCGUCAAUCUAUUCUAUCCACGACACAAGUAAUUUCUGGAUUUCUACGUACGCAACAAAGCGGCGCUACUCGUCUCGUCUACUCCUCCGUCCGUAUCUUUAUGCGCGGUGCCUUGCGUGCGUGACGGGCGUGCACUUUGGAUCCCACCGACCGUACCCUACACGCACCGAUCUACCGUGCGCGAGCUCAUCGUGAGUGGCGGUGAGAUGGUAAGGCGAGAACACGCCGGCGGGAGAGCGCACCUGGGGAGCGAGCAGCCGCGGGGCUGCCACCGCCAGUGCUGGUACGACUUGUCGGGGCGGCCGUGCGCCUGGCAGGUCAGCUCGGCCGGGAUGUAGGGGCACGCCGCCUCCUCGUACGCCGGCGCCGCCGCCUCGUCGUACACCCACUCGCCCUGCCCGACGUCGCACCCCUCCGGCGCCGCGCCCACCGCGAACGGCAGCAGCUCCGACCCGCCCUCACCCUCCUGCAAUGCCACGGCAGCAAACAUUAGCCAGGCACGCGCAUUUUUACGCUAAGGAAGUCCAGGGUGCCGGCGACGCGUACCUGGCCAGCGACGCCGAGGAACGGCGCGGCGGCGGCCACGAGGGCCAGGACGGCGAGGAGCUUGGCCAUGGCGUCCGUCAGUUCGCUGGUUGCUGCUCUGCUGGGUGUGUCGGUCGGCUCUGGUAGCUCACGAGGGGCGCGCGCGCAUUGGGUGGGUGGGAUCUCGGCAAGCUCUAGCUCACUCUGAGUAGCCACCAGACCACCGGGACACUGACGGGAUCGGGCUCGCGCUCCAGCAGAUAUAACGCGGGCGCGAGGGUCCGGCUCCAACAACCGCCGCACGUACUCCUACCACUCCUACCACACCAGACCACUGGUAGUAGUAGGCGCGACGACAUUGGGGGGUGCUGGCUAGAGCUAGCUUGUGUCGCACGGCCGCGCGGCAGCUUUUGAAUUUCCUAAACCUAAAGCGAGAUCUCACUCCCUUUCCGAGCCACCGACGGAGUGCGGCUCGACGCCCCGAUCGGCAGUACUGUAGCGAGCUCGCGCCGGUGCGGUACGGUGGCGGGUGGGCGAUGGGUGUGCGUGCGCUCCUUUGCAAGGCACGACUUGCCCGGACUGCCACGGUAGGUGGGUGGGUUGCUCUGAUGCUAUCUGGUUGGAACUCCGUCCAAAUUCUCGUCAGGGUUGGUGCACGGUGUAAAAUUCAGUUUUAUUGUUGUUGCGACUACGUUCUUGAUUAUUAUUCCCUCCGUUUCAAAUUACUCGUCGCAAAAAUGGAUAUAUCCAGAACUAAAAUACAUCUAGAUACAUCCAUACCUGCGACAAGUAAUUCAGAACGGAAGAAGUACGUCCUGCAGGAGCGAACGAACGUGCGCUUUAUAGCAGCAGCUAGCGCGACGGCCCUCCGCGGUACGCUUUUCUCCGGCGGGGGGAACCGGUAAGAACUCCCUGUUGCGAAAGGGAGAACGCCGAGUUCGUGGUGGAAAGGAUCGACACGCUCGAGGAAUGCUCAUGUUACAGCGAGCGUUGCUUCUGCGCAAAGAAGCUCAUUUGGGUGGGAUUUGUUCGCUCGUUUAUACUCCACGCGCACGGUUCAUGCUAUACCUCCGCAAUUUUUGUUAAAAAUGAGGCCCAUGCUACGUAGGAGUAUGUAGGAGUAUGAUUUAUUAGGACUAUCUGGUGCACCUAACUGAAUUCUAUCUGGCGGCAAUCAUCAUUAGCGCCACAAAAGCGACGCACCAAACAAAAAAAUGGUGGCCAUAUCAAACGCUGAGAAGUUCUUUUCGUACCAGAAUUGUGUAAGAUGGUCUAGUGAAAGCAAUGCCAUCUAACAAUAAAACGGAAUUAAUUGAAACUCUAGCCGGCAAAGCGUGACAUAUUUCCCUGUGUGGAUUGUAAGCAAAGGCGCAGAUAAAGUGUGGGUGAGAAAGGUACGGAGCAGGUGCGGGUAGCCAGGCCAGUGGACUGGGAUGUUUGCCAUAUGGGCUGAGGCCGACGCAGCAAGCAAAGCAUCGAUCGGGUCCCGCAUGAGACCGGUUGGAGAAACCUUCCCAUGGUUUCGGCGCUUUAUAGUUUUUCCCUGUUCUUUUUUAAUGUCUCUGAUGGUUUUGGUGCUUUGGUUUGGUGCACCAUGAUAUACACAUGAAUGAUACACGGAAUGGUGUUCCUACGUUGGAGUUUGCGGUGACUCGUCUAGGGAGAAUACACCUCGUACAUUUACUCCCUCCGAUCCAUAAUAAGUGUCAGUAGAAGAUAAGAUUGACGGGAAGAUUGCUAUCCGGGAGGGCAAGCAUGUCAGCAUGGCUGGCAUAUGUGAUCCUCAUAUCUCAAGCCAUAUGCCAUAUAUCUUACGCCGCUUCAUAUACCUGGUAGGAAUCAAAUGAAAAUUCGACAAGCACGGGGUUAAAUAUCUUUGUGCAGGUGUGACAAGGUCACAAGAGGGAAAUGCAAAGUAGACUAGGAGAUAACAUGUGAGUCGGCGGAGUUAGAUGGGUUGUGCAUUCUUCAUCAAGAUAAAUUUGCUACUACGAUGGGAAUUAUAUGUGUCCUUGAUUACAUUGGGUUCAUGCUUCAGUAUCAUGGGCUGAACUUGGUGGUCGGUGCAAUUAAUGUGAUAAUGAGUGAUCCACAACAGCUACAGUGAUUAUGGUGAAGAAGGGAAAUUCUAGGGGUUCCCUGGGAUCGUUGGGAUCAGAUCAAGAGGUAUAGACCCUCAAAAACAUUUGAGAUUUGAACAAAGAACCAAGCACAGCUAGAAAAAACUAUGGGAAAUGCCAGGGGAGUUUCUAAGGUCAACAUGCAACAAGGGCUCACUUUCUAGCACAUACAACAAUUUGCUACCCUUUGGAAAAGCUUAACCACAUUCAUCUUAUUUUGAAAAAGCAAAACAUGGUUAGAUGAGAAUUUCAUGGAUGGUGCUUACACGACCUCAACCCACAAGAGCCCUGAUGAACCUAAUGUUUGGAAACUAUGGGUGCCACCGAAAUGUACAUUCUUCACCUAUUGACCAUAAAAGAAAUAGGAAUUGGAUGGCGGGCCAUCUCUUCGGAUAUGGUUGGAAAAAACAACAUGAUUUGCCCUCUUUACAAGCAAAGUUCCACAAAAGGUGACUCAUCUCACUUUUAAAUGUCAUUAUACGAAAUAAAGCAGCCAGAUAAGUUGGUUAGCCAAUAAUUGAAUACCAUUAUACGAAAGAAGGCAACCAGGUAAAUUGGUUAACCAAGUAUAUUUGUAGAAAACAAUGCUUUUGUAAGCAUAAUUGAAUAUCCACCCCUAUUUUGUUUCCUUAUCGAAAGAAGGAAACUGGCUAAGAUUAGCCAAAAAAGACUCGAACACGGAUUUGUCUAGUAUUCAGGACAUGUCCAAUGGUAAGCGCUUAUCCAGGUGCUUAAAAAAGAAAAAAUAUGUUUAGAAAAUUUAAAAGGCCUAUAAGCGUUAACUCUUCCGACGCAGCAAGGCGCUAAGUACCAGCGCUUAAGGCCUUGUACAAUGAAAGAUGCUUAGAAAAAUAAACCGAGUUUUUCUGAAGUACCGGUGCCUAUUUCUAUAGAAGAGACGCUUAGUUAAGCGUCUACCCUGUACAAAUAAACACCGGUGCUUAAGAAAAAUCUGGUUUAUUUCUUUAAGCACCUCCCAAGGCCUAAGCUCAUGAACACGAUUUCUGCCUCACCUUGUGUGGAGAAAGCACUAAGCGCUCACUGUUAUACUUGGCAUCGAUGCCAGCCCCGAUGCUGGGAAUCCACGAUGCAACCGUCGCUUGGCCGGGAAAUUUUUCCUAGCGCCCUGCUUUAGCGCUGGGCAUCGGAGAUGCCCUCAUAUGGCAUACUCAGUCCGUUCGGGUUUAUAAGUCGAAUAUGCACUUCAAAAUUUCCUAAACCAUCAAUAAAAUUACUAAUAUUAGAGAUCGUAUGUCAUAGUAAUCAUACCAUCCAAAGCUUCUUUCAAAUACUUCUUCUAUACAUAAAUAUAAGACAUUUUAAAUAUUGUAAAAGCAUCAUCAAUAAAAGACUUAAAUACAAAAAUAACUAAUUUUUACAUCAUGAAGUCUCAAAAACGCUGCUCCAACACAUGAUGUAGAUGUAAAAAAAAUUACAUCACGUCCUUCAAGUGAUACAACACUUAGAGAUGUAAAUUUGCAUCUCCACUUCCCUGGUGAUGUAAAACUGCAGCCAUGCGUCAACCGCCCAUUCCUUUCCCCCCACCCACCGCCCGACCGCGUCCUCUUUCCCGCCGCCGUUUGGCCGCCGCGCACCCGUCGUCCGCACCCCGCCACCGUCGCGGCGCCGCCAGAUCUGGCUGAUCCACCGACGCUACUGUUGGUUCCCCCGCCGCCUCCAAAUUGGCCGAAUCAGCUGUUGCGCCGCCACCGGAUUUGAGCUCCCCCGCCGUCGGAUUCGAGACGCACACCGGCCGCCAUGCUGCAGCCGCCAGACUUGUCCUUCUCGCCCGCACAGUUGCUGCCCCGUCGCCGCCAAUCCGCAGCCCGAUUCACGGUCACGCAACCGACCAUUCGAGCUCCCGCCGCUGCAUUCGACCUCCCGGCUCUCAUCGCUCAGCCGCCGCCGCUCAUCCUGGCUCUCAUCGCUCGGCCGCCGGCGCUCCUGCUGACUAGUUUUACUAGUCCGCCGCUGGUUGGGACUUAUUUGAAGAUGUAAAAAGCACUUUUUCAUGAUGUAAAUUAUACAACGCCCACUUUUACACCUUCGGAUUUGCAUCAUCUAUUGAAGAUGCUCUAAGCCAUCUUACAUUUAUGUACGGAGAGAGUAGGUGUUGUAUUUUUUAUGGCGUACGUAUCGUAUACUAUUGGUCUCAUAAAUGCUCAAAGUAAUCUCGAAAUACAUAUGAAAACACAUAAACUUGGACAAAAGAGAGCAUGUGCUUAGUUGCAGGAUCUUAGAUUUGAAAUGGAGUACUACCUUAAUCGUCCCUCUUAGGGUCAGCUGACCUGAGCUAGCUUUCCCGUUCCAGCUCGUCGUGGCGUGCAGAAAUAGCGACGUUUCAGGUCGUUCACGCGGACAGUGAUCGACUUGUAACCAUCCUCCGAGUGUGUGCAGGUCAGAGCAUUUGGCUAUUGGCUUUGGCGUAUCGCGACGGAUCAGCACAAUAAUCAAUUAACCAGACGGGGCCGCCGGACUCGUACAGCACGGCCGGCGUUACGGCGUCGCCGUCGGCACCCGGCGGGCAGGGCCGUGGUGACCUGCUAAGCGCUUAAUCAAGUGUUUUUUUUUUCAAUGGCUCGAUCAUGGCUCAUUUGACUAACUCGUUUGUUGAUCCAUCCGUGUAUCGGGCGGUGCACCUAAUGAGCUGGUGUACGUACGUGGCGCUGCGUACGUGCCGCGAUGGACGCACGCGGGUUUGCCACCGGCUGUGCUGGUGCGCGACGGCGACGGCGCCCGGUGGAUAGAGCACACCAUGGUCCGCCUGGGUUCCACCACCGUCUCACCAACCACCACCGUCCUCCGUCCUCCGCCGCUAGUCUCCGUGCCUUGUCGCUUCCUCGGACCGGCGCCGCGGCAUGCCGGCGUCCGUAUGCGCUGCCGGUGCAUCUUCUGGAGAGACAGGGCCGGAGGCGCACGUACGAGAGUCAGUCCGGAAGAGCAUCCGAAGACAGGAUCGAACCACGUUUAAAUUCCGCGCGCUACGUAGACGUAGUACCGUACGUGCGUGCGUGCAUUGCCACCGUGGUGCGCUGGUACGUGGUGACCGUCGGCCGGCCCCGGCAUCGGUUGAAGGGCAGCACGUGCCCCCCGCGCCGCGCCCAUCAUCCAGAAUCCAUCCGGGAUCCGCCCGCGCCUGCCGUCGGGUCCCGCGAUGCAAUCGGCCAUGAUGCUUGAUGCCGCCGGGCCGUGCCACGGUGGUGGUGCCCUGCACAGCUCGACGCAAACUGUAGCGCCUAUGCGCCACCGCUGCACCUCCCCACAGCCAACCAUCCGAUCCCAGCGACGACCCUCCCCAUCCCCUUCCCGUGCAAGCUUCCGAGGCUCGACCCGAUCCUUCCACACAAGCAAUGAUCCAUGAUUCACGAUUGUGUGAUCGUAGCACGCCCUGCUACCUCAAUCAGCUUCCCUUUCUUUCCGUGGUCUUGUCUACUAGUCCCUCAGCUCCCAAAUAUAAGUUUUUCUAGAGAUUCCAACAAGUGACUACAUACGGAACAAAAUAAGUGAAUCUACACUCUAAAAUAUGUCUACAUAUUUGAAAUGUCUAAAAAGAUACUCCCUCCGUUCCUAAAUAUUUGUUUUUCUAGACAUUUUAAAUGACUACUAUAUACGGAUGUAUGUAUACAUAUUUUAGAGUGUAGAUUCACUCAUUUUGCUCCGUAUGUAGUCACUUGUUAAAAUGACUAGAAAGACAAGUAUUUAGGAAUGGAGGGAGUAUAUAUUUAGAAACGAAGGAAGUACUCUACUGUGCAUGCACAGACAAAAGGGCCGCUUUUCCUCAACUGAUCAACAUAUUAUACCUGCAGCGACAUGUCGUGCCACCCAGCUCGCCUCCUUUCUUUUCUGCCGGUGGGUUGGGUUGGAUUGGACGCCAAGAGGCCAGAUACACACACACACACUCACACCUAUGCUUCAUUAGCAAUCAACCACUUCCUAGAUUAGACUAGAUUAGGUUAGGGGGCCCGGGCUAGGCGGGCGAAUUAUUGGGCGGUAAUUCGCCGAUGAUGUGAGUGAAGCCAUGAUGCGAUUGCUGCAGCUGUUACUCGACUGCUAGUACUGUGCUACGGCCUACAGUACGUAGCAGCGUAGCAGGAGUACUGUACUGCUGCCGCCGUGUGUGGCUGUGGGCUGGGGUGCUCAGAUCGGCAGCGGGUGGGCCGGUUUGGUGGGAUGGUACUACACAUCUUGUCCGAAACUGAUUGGCUCGGCCUGCCCAAAGUGCGUGUUACCCGACGGAAUGGUACGUAGAUACAUCCAUUUCUGCGACGAGUAAUUCAAAACGAAAGGAGUAUUUUUUUAUUUUUUACAAGCUACUUCAGCAGUGUUAUGGUAAUAGUGCUGUGUGUGUCCUGUGUGUCUGAGAAAAGCUACAAGGUUUGUUGUGCUUCCCAGAUGCUGAGUGUGCUACUAUCAUCUGGCACCCACUCAAGGAAGCAACAAAUUUGGCUUAAAUAUUCCUUGGAGAAAGUAUUUCCUUCUGUCGAAUGCCCUCAGAGACCGACACAUUUUCCCCUCCCUUUUGCGGCAAAGCACGGCUGUUUUUUUUUCUGUAGAGAAGCACUGCUGGUUGUUUGCAGCCAAGUCUGUCACCAGUGUGAGAGACCGGCCCAAUGGAGUGAUACUUUUUGUUUGUGCUUUUUUUGUACUAGUGGACAGUGGUGGUGCUGCUGCUGCUGAACAGACGGUUAUGCUUCCCAAGUGCUGACCAUGCUAAAUUUGGGUAUGAAAUCCUAUGAAGAGAGGUUCUUUUUUCUUCACAGCCUUCAAAGAGAAAAUGGACGCAUGAAAUCAACCAUCUGUUCUAGAUCAGGUGAUUUCUGUCUCCAAGGGUAGCAACAGACGCGGCAAAAUCAAGAGUCAUGAUGCAGUUAACCGGCGAAAGCUUAUUAAUAAUCAUGAUCAUAUGCAUCGUUCUGAUGCAGAGGCUGGGGCAAACCCCCUUUUCGAAGAAAAAAAGUUAACCGGCGAAAAGCGAAAACUCGAUGCAAAAGACUACAUAAGCCACAAAAAGCCUCUGCCUUUAGGUGAUCACUUUGAGCAAUUUGGCAUUCAUGCUCGAUGAAAAUAUCAUGCCACGAGGAAGAGGAAUGUGGUACGGUAUCGCAAUUAGCAUUUCCAACGGAUGACCACAAACACCUCAGCUUGUGCACCGUGCGUGCGGCGUGUAUAAUAUUCUUCACUCUUCGGAGUGUAGCAACCUGUACGAUGUCAGCUACACUAACCCUUCUCCGGCAGAUCAGAUCCUUCCCAGAUGAUAUACUAUACUCCCAGAAACCCGGGUGAGGUGCUCCUGCACUUCUUUCAGUCAAAGGGUUGAUCAGCACUCGUGUGCUCAAUUCGCGCGUCAAUUCUCGAACCCAAGGUUCUUCCUUCGCUCAAGGGAAGAAGAGCUUCGCGUAGAGCAGCUCGUUCCAGGUGUCCUGGAGUCCCGGGAGGCACCAAUGCGUGCAGUCGGCGUAGCUCUUAGGGUUGGCGAUCUGCUCCGGGGUCAGCGGGUUCCACUGCUUCUUGUAUAUCUGGGUGUGCGCGUCUUUGCGGUACUCAGAGAGCUGGGUGAUGUUGACGACCCCAACGGGGACCUUAGAAGCACUGAACACUUCGCCGAUAACCCGCAUCAGGCCCUUGCUGGUGCCUGGUCCCCAGUAAGACAAAUCUUUGAUUGGGG
rnacentral:lncRNA from 1 species